UUUUUUUUUUUUUUUUUUUUUGUCUGAUACGAUAGACCUACACUACUCUAUACUAAGGGGAAGGGGACCUGAACAGAUUCAAGAACAUUUUGAAAGGGAUUGAACCACCACCGGGUCAAAUGAGUACGCAGGAAACCUGGAUUUCUGGAAUGUAGGCAAGGAGAUUUGAUCCAUUGAUCUUCAUCUAAGUAGAGCUUUUAAAACUCUCUUGGUGGCCUUAUUUCACAUUUGUCACUAAUGAAGAUUUAAUCAAAUUGAUGAUAUUUUAUAUUAAGAAAAACAGUUUGUCUAACGUGUGCUAUCCGUUGAGGUAUAUUUCAGGUACUAUAUUUUUUGAAAUAUAAGAUUAAUUAAAAAAAAUAAAUAAAUACAAGAGAAAAUAGAUAAGAUUAAAUAGAAAAACUAUAUAAAUGCAAAAGAGAAUAAUCAUUAUUAGUAAGUAUAUAUAUAUAUAUAUAUAUAUAUAUGAUAGGUUAAAUGAAUACUAGGGGUGUUAACUGGGCACCUGUUAGAAAAAUCUAAGAAAAAAUGGUGGAAUAGAAACAGGAGUCGUGGGAGCUUGGUCUUUGUUAAGUUCCUAUUCAGCUAAUCGUCUAGAUUAAGUUGUACAUGCGUGGUCGUGUACAUUUCCACGCCGCCCCACACAGAAAAAGUGAAAAACAAAUCCGUGCGUAGCACCCAAAACUUUCUACUUUCCUCGCUCAAAAUGAGGAAAUCCGAAAUCAUCUCAGCCACCGACUCAACUUGUGCGACGGCCCCACUGCCAACUUCUUUUCCCCAUCCAACCGUGCAUUUAGUCCUCACCCGACUUUUCAAACCUACACGACCCGUCAAAAGAAGCUGUGUUGUGACUUGUGAAACACCAGCGAACCUCCCAUGAAAUCUCAAGGAAAUAACACCAUGCAAAAAUCAACGAGAAGGAGAAUACCAAAGACCAUCUAUAAAUAUACAUGACCUAUCUUCUAUGACCAACCAAAAAAAUCCCACAUUUUUGCCAUGGAAUUCAGGAGGCCGAGGCAUCAACAAACUGCUAGAUCAACGAGGCCAAAUGGGAUGUGCAACAAGCAUCCAAAACAUCAACAAUCACCAGGUGUUUGCUCAAUUUGUUUGACUGAAAAGCUCUCGCAAUUAUCCUCAAGUUCAUCACGUAGUAACACUACUGCUACCACGGUUGAUUCUUCUUGUUCCUCUUCUUCCUUGUCAUCCUUGUCGUCGUCUCAUUAUUCCGCUAGCGCUUCUUCUUGUUCUUCCCCCGUGCAUAGCCAUCAUUAUCGAAUGACCUCGGAUGGAAGAGGGCUGUCCUCCUUGAGUUUUUUUAGAAGUGGUAGAAAUGUGCUCACCAAGAGUAGAUCAGUGGCUUUUAUCACAAGAAGGAGAGAUGCAGGCGAGGUUAUUGCGAUGGAUCAUGGCAAGAAAAAGAGUGGCUUUUGGUCGAAAUUGCUACGGCCAAGAAGCAAGAGGACUGAUGAGGGUUUGGUUCAUUCAAGGACUGUGACGAGAGUUCAUUGAUGGGCAUACCAUAUUCCUUGAUUCUUUAUACCAUUUUUUCUAAAAAAAAAAAAUCUUUUGCCGAUUUUGAAUGUAUAGUGUUCAAACUUGGAUUUCACAAUUUAGGUAUUUUUUUUUCUUUCUUUUCACAACAGGAGAUAGAGUAAAUACAUAGAUCAGAAUUAAAGGAAGACAAUAAAUUGUUCUUCUUUUCACAUCCAUGUUGUGAUUCAUUAUAUAUGGAAUUAAUGAAAGAAAUUAGAGUAGAUCUGUAUUGCCAUACGUACGUACAUCUGGAGCUAUUCAUUAAUCAUCUUUUAUCCGUUAAUCACAUCCACCCUUUAUUUUCAGCAUGAGCUGCCUGCUUCACCAUUGGUAUAUGACCCUCCCUGUGUUUAAUUCCUUGGUCUUUAUUACGGUGAAACCAUUUCUUUCAAUUUAUCUUUCGAAUGAAAUUUCAAUUGAUGGAAGAGAUCCAAUAGUUUUUUUUUUUUUUUUUUAUCAAGGAAGAGUUCUAAUAGUUACAAAAGGGAUUCUAAUUUCUAUAAGUUUAGAUUGUGGUUCAUCGGCCUGGAGCCCCAAAAGAACACCAGAGAAGAGAGGGCUAGAUUUGGACCAGAUGCAAUUUCAUUCAGUUGUCCGAAACUAAUUGGAAGCAGGGAUCAGAAAUUUUCUAGAAAAAAGUUCCAGCCUAUGACUUAAUUUAAUUGCACAGUUCUCCUCAAAAAAAAUUCCUUUUUAAUUGUAAAGUUUCAAAGCUUAGGUGUAUUACUUGAAGUUUUUUUUUUUUUUUGGUCAAAGUAUUACUUGAAGUCAUAACAACGUGAUUGACUGAACUUAUUUUUCAAAAGCUGUGCAAAAAAGUACAUUGAUUUCCACGGUAAAGUAUUCAAGACAAGAUUUUGACAAUUGAGGAUUCAAAAUUCAAAUACAGAGUGACAUCUACGGACACAGAGAGGGGAAAAUAAGUCCGGCACAAGUUGGUUUAACUGAUAAGGAUCAAUUAUUUAUUUACAAAAAGUCGUAUGUUCGAAUUUCAUUCUCGAUAUGAGAGUUAAAUUGGUGGAUGAUCUGUAAAAAUCUCUGUAAAUGACUUAUGGCUCCAGAGGCACAUUCUGAUCAGCAGUGAUAAUUGAAAUUAAAUCCAUCUGAACUUUUUCGUAUCACAAAAAAAUAAGUCUAAAAGAUAUGUUCUAACCCGUAGUGAUGAUUGAAGUCGAAUUCAUUCGAACUUUUUUGCACCACAAAAAAGGGAAAAUAAGGAAUAUUUCACCAAACUUUAUAUGUGUAGAAUGCAUCUAAAUGUGCACCAGGGCUGCUAACUAGUUAUUUCAAUUCCAAAUUGUGCACUACUCGAAUAAAAAUACUUGAGUUCAAACAUACCGAGUUCUUCAAAGUUGAGUUUGAACUCGAACUCAAGUUUGAUUUUAUUUAACCUUACUCGAACUUGAGAUUGAACUCGACCAAAUCGAGCUUAGUCGAGUUUAAGCAAGUUUUCAAACUCAAAUUUUUUAAUAAGUUUUAUAAUAUUAUAAAUACAUUACUUUUUUCAACAAUCGAAAUUACUGGAAAGAACGCAACAAAAUUAGAUUAAUACUCAAGAGGUAAUCGAAAUCCUGAUACAAAGCACAAUCUAAGGUGGAGUCCACAAACCAACACCAUCCAGCCAAUUGGUAACUUGACAAGGUUAUAAAUACAUUACUUGACAAGGUUGAACGGUACUCAGAAUUUUAGUAUAAUCUAAUUAUUUUAUCAAGUAACUACGUGGCAUGCUUUAGAUCCAUUGCAUGUCAAAUUAGAUAUUAGUUCUCAAAACAGCCAGAUCAUUUCUAAAUUUGUGCCUUAGUUUAUAAGCAUAUAGGAAUAUCUGUUUGGUUAGAAGAAGAAGCAACUGGUUUUGUCUUUAGUAGGUAAAUCAUACGAUUAGACAAAAUAUUCCGCGAAAGAACCCCGAGAUUCUCCACCCACUGCUAGGCUGUUGCCUGGCAUGUUGACGAAUUAUGACCAACUCCCCUCGCGAGGAAACUUCACACGAAGACCCUUUUAUAUAAUAGUAGUUCUUUUGAUGCUGGACGAAGUCAUAUGCAAAGAAUGAAAAUUUUGAUUUUGACAACCCAGCCAAGAUUUGAUACAUUGACCAAAUUCCUCGAAUUUUCCAUGACAAAUGUGUAUUCAGCGAAAAAGUACCGGAUGUGAACAAAUUAGAACUUGUUAUUGUUAUGAGUGAAGUUGCUUUCGUCUAGGAAAAUUUGUGCGGCGGUCAAUUUGCAUACAAUCCGCUGUGGCUUGCGGCUGCUUUGUGUUCACAUGGUUUCUGUUUCCUUUUGUGUCCAUUUCUUUUGCUUGUUCCCCCGCAAAAAGACCACCGUGAAGAGCAAGGUAUGGGCUAAUACAAGUAGAAGUCAAAUUGAUAGUCAAGAAAAGGACUUUUUAUAUGAUGGACUAAUAUUGCGUAUAUAAGUGGAAUAAAGUCUUUCAUUUUUUUUUGUUAAAAAAAAAGGCUUUCCUUUUUUUUAAGUGAAAUAUAGUGGGCUAAUUUUUCAAAUACAAUAAAAAUUUUUAAAAAGUACUCUAAAAGAUAAUCUAAAAAUUGGUUUAAAUUUUUUUAAAAAUUUUAAAAAAUAUUUCAAAAUAUAUUCUAUAAAUUCUUCUACUCUUAAAAUAUCCCAAAAUAUUUUCUAAAAACUCUGCUACUGCAAAAUUUUUUAAAAACAGCUAAUCCAAACAGAGCCCAUACACAACUCUAUUAGAUAGAAGCAAAAUAAAAGAUUGACUCACCUCCUAGUUUUUAAUUAUCCCUACGACGAUUGUUUCUAUAGCAUAGAUAUGUUGUGAAAAGCAUUAAAUGACUUUUUAAAGCUGAAUUUUUUCAAAAAAAAAAAUUAUGCACUAAAAAUAAAAGAGAAAAAUAAUCAAUUCAAAUGUUUGAUAUGACUAUGAUUCAAGUCUAUACUUAAACAAGAAACUUGAGAGGUAGUUUCAAGACCUUAAUUUCUACCGAUCAAGUUUUUUUUUUUUUUUUUUUUUUAAGUGAAAGGAUUUAAAUUCAAAACUUCUUACUUACAACUUUAUUAACCUAUUAAUAAUCUUUUUUUUUGAAGUGGGCCGGGGCGGGGGGUUGGGGUUGGUGCGGCAUGGGGGAGUGGGGAAGUUCGAUGAUGCAAGGGCCGUAAGGCCCAUUAAGCGCCCGUUCCCACGAAUGAGACCAGUUGACUGCCCAAGAAGGAAUCACAGUAUAUGACAAGGCCACCGGCCUUUUCAUAUUUUGGACUGUCUUGUGAGUUGCAAUUGUCCCGAUUCUACGUCAAGUAAAUCUUACAAAGGCCCAUCUUACAAAUCGUGCCCCCUUUGCAAAUAAGCUUCGCAAUCUGAUCCAAACCAAAUCAGAAAUGGCUUUUUGGAUAAUCUAACUUUGUAAUUGUGAGUGAAACUUGGCCCAAAACUCACCGUUUACUUGCAAAAUUGGGCUGGUUAUGGGGUGCUCAUUACCUUCUAAUCUUAUGUAUAAACGGUAUAGGCAUUCGCAUAACUUUGAAGUCGUCAAAUAUAUGCUCAGCAUCCUUACUUGCUAAGAUCAUCACUCAGCUCUAAUCACUCAAUGAUGUACCAAUCAAUUUGAUCCAAUGUAACUGCAGAAGCAAUGAAAGGGAUUGGCUGCAGAGUUUAAUACAUUAGUAGCAGUGCCAGACCAAAAACUUAGAAUAGGAAAUUGACAAUGUAAUUAUUCAGUGGUGUAUGCAGAACCAACCCACCUCAAAGAGUGAGUGCCCAACUGAGCACUAAGUUCCACCUGGUGAGCUCCUAGUAGCGUUCAUAAUCUCCAGUCCUUUUCUGAGUUAGGUAAGUUACAUAUAUUCUGAACACGAGGCUUACUUUCCAAGGCAAAACACUCACGAAUCCAUCCAUUAAACAUGGGAAGUUAAGUGCUCCUAUGUAAUGAUGACUAAUGAAUUUGCGUGGAUUGAAUCAGUCCCCUCCCCAUUUUACAUUCAAGGAUUAUGCCUUCUCUCCACUUCCAACGACCAACUCAAAUACCCCUUGGAUUAUAUUUAUAUGAUUUGGUCUUGAUGCCAAAAGGAGUACCCCUGUAAAGUGAUAACAAAAUUCGGAAUUGACACAAGAAAAGCACUUUGAAUUGUUGAUUAAUCGUCAGAGAUGGCUUAGAAACCACUAGUUCAUUAUCAAAUGGAGGUCCCGAAAGAAAAUUUCACCAGAAAGAAAGACUCAGAUGCCUCCAGUCUAGACAAUUGACAUAAUUAAUUAAUGAAGAGCGACUAAUUGAUGGGGGGGAAACAUACAAAAGAGAGUAAUGCAUGGUUUACUUUUCUCCAACUAACCUUGUUGCAUUUGACAAUCAUAAAAUAAUGAAAUGGAAGACUUGGAAGUUGCCAAUGCGACCUCAUUAGGUAGACAUAGACUCAGAAAGCACAAAUGUAGAACUUCCCAAGUUCAAAGCUGUAAUGAAGUGGGCCGAUGACUCGGAACCAUAAAUUCUUACCAUAUAUUGUUGAUCUGAACUGGUGAUAGUCACUGCUUUUUUCUAAGUGAUCUUGUCGCUGAUGUGAUAGCUAGUCUGUAGAUUAGCGACUUGAUCACCCUGAAACUCAUACAAAAAACUGUGAGUUAUGAAAGGGAUCACCCUGAAACUCAAAAACAAAAGUGCCUAUGACUGGUCAUCGAUAAAUGGACAUCAACUUGAGAGAGUCGUAGAAGUUUCAUCGGUAAGAAAAUUGUACUCAAGAAAAGCUUGUUCUUAUAAUUUAAAACCCUUUGACAAAGUUCUGUACCAGAAGUUAUACCGUAUACGUCACAAUUCAAAAGGACGCCGGGGAAUCAUUAAUUUUCCUCUCCAGAAGACAAUCUUGAUGCACAAUUUUGGAUUGUCAUUUUUCUCCAAAAAAUGUUUAUGUUUUUCGAGAACACAGUUUUCAGUCAUCUUUUUUACCUCAAAUACAUUAAAUUGUUACAAUAAUUUUUUUUUACAGAAAUUUCAAAAAAUAGCAAUCCAAACAGGUUCAAAAAUUGCAAGUUGGUUAAUCUUGUUUUCUUGAUGAUCUUGAGGGAUGAGUUGAUCAAAGUUGUAAAGCAACGCCAAGAGAAUGCCAGGGCUAAUUAAUUCUGUGGACUAAACGCAUAUUAACCAUACUUGUCCUAGUAAUAAAAAAAAUAUGGUAUCAAAAUGGUUUAAAGCAUGAAGUCAGGCCAGAAACAGGGAAAUUGAAUGACCUCUUAAUGUCCAUUUUACAUGAAUACUUCAACUUCUAACCAAACCCAAGGCCUUUGAUCUAGUCAAUUGAUGUUUAUUUCUUCCCAACAUUAGGUUGAUCCUAGCAUAAUCUUCAUGUUAGGUAUCAGUCUAAAAAUACAAAUAUGAGAGGCCUGAUGGAAACUCAUUGUCGGAAGCUUCUGGGGGCACUAUACAAGGACCCAAUUGCAAGUUUUAGAUAAUUUCGUAGAUUCUCUGUUGAGCAGCCUAAUGGAAAAUUGUACGUACUGUUAAAUCCAAUUUUUCUUCGUUGUUGAACAAGAUUUCGUUGCCUUCACAGGUUCACUGGUCGAUUGUUCUGGAUCAUCUCUCGAUUAGCUUUCUUAAAGCUCCGAAAAUUGCAAUUUUGAUGCUUCUGACAAAUCAAAACAUGGGCGAUAAUGGUGUCCAGUUCCAGUGUUGAAUGUUGCCGACUGUUGCUUGAUCCCAUGCAGUCGUCCAAAGAAGCAAGAUGGCAGUUUAGAUAUAUGAUAUGGAGAAGUGAAGGAUGUGAUUACUUGGAUGUUAGUCGGAUGACACUGAGAGCUUCGUAAAAAAAGGCAUUGUGAAAACUUACUCUGAAUUCUUGGCUCCAUGAACAUACUUGCAUUGGGAUUUAUUAUUUUGUUUUUAUAACAAAUAAAAAUUAUAGAUAAUUUAUAGAAAUUGGUUUUACAGUUUUGCAACAGUUUUUUUCCCCUUGUUUUUAUAAACUUGCAAACCUUUUGAUUACGUGCUACAAAUUUAUGAAAUGGACAGGCGAAUGUAUAACGUAGAGGUUAAACAAGAUUAAGUGGGUGCUGAAUGGGUAAAUUAACAUACUUAGUUGGUGCUUAUUAGUAUAGGAGUGCGUUCGAUUCAAAUCGAGUUUGAAUAGUGUACUAUUUUAGCUCAACUCGAGAUAAAAUAUCUAAAUUUAAGCUCAUCAAGUUUAUAAAAGCUAAAUCCGAACUUCAGAUCAAGCUGGAGCUCAAGUGUAAUCUAGAGUAAUCAAGUUUAAGGGAGCCCAAUCGAACUUACAUAAUAUAAAUUAAUAUUUUAUAUAGUUUUAAAUAAGGGAUAUAAUUGACAUUUCACACUAAUCAUUAUAAAAAUUUUUAAAAAUAAAUAUACAUUAGAAGUCCAAUUAACCUUGAUGAGCCUACUAUCUUCAACAUUUCAUUGUUCGAACUAAACUCGUGCAGGCAAACGAGUAGCUCGAGUUCAAUCAACGCCGAACACGAGUUACAUAUAAGUUCAAUCCGAGUUGUUUGGUGAACUUGCAUGCCUACUUACUUAUUAGGUAUAGUGAGCAGUUUAAAUUAACUUAUUAAGAAUAAAUUAAGAAGUCUGUAAAGUUACAAGAGUGACGAACCCCACCGAAAAAUGGCCUUAUACUUCAGAAAAGAUAGUUGCAUCAAUAGUAAAAAUACUCAAAUGGAGCAGGUUUGCCGUUUGUUUAUACGUACGUCAUAUAGUAUAUUUUGGAGUUAUAUAGUCAUGGUGAUGUAAUACAAAUGACGUUAAAAUUUUGCAAAUACAACAAAGAAAAACCCAACCCAUUAAUUUUUAAGACAAAUUGAUUAACAAAAUUAGCGGCUACCAAACACUCUAUUAACUACUGCUACUUAUGACUUUGUGAGUGUAGUGAAAUUCCCAUGUGGUUCUAUGUGUUCAAAAAAUUGGGGGUUUUUUUUUUAUGGAAUUAUAAAAUCCCUAAAACAUCAAACAGAAAUAAUUUUUUUGUUGUUGUUGCGAAAACAAAAGGAUGCCUUACCUAGCAAACACGUCAACAGGACAAACUUUUUCUCUUUUUAAAUUUUAAAUUGGGGACUAGUCAUGCUAGCUAGACAAUCAUUACCAAAACUUUUUUUUUAAUAAAAUGUGUCAUGGAUAAUUUUCUUGUUAAUUUAUUACAACAUUACAUGGGUUAAUGCAAGCAAAACCUGUCUACUAAUUGAGAAGGAGAUGAGUUGCCACAUUUAAGAUGAUUUCUACAUCAGUUCUCGUUUACGCACAAACAUACACAAAUGCCACUAAUUAAUUUAGACACAUUCAUAAUAAACAAGCUCGAAGAGGAUUGGAUUGGGUGGUAUUUUUUUUUUUUUUUUUUUUUGAAAAAAAAAGGAAGUAAACAAGCUCCUCCUGUAAUUAAUUUCAUUCUAGCCUGGGUUUUGUGCGAAGUAUCAUGAAACAAAAAGUUGCUUAAGUUAACUGGAGAAAGAAAAUAAAGUGUCGCCAUUGAAGUAAAACUAUGAAUUUGAGUAGCAAAGUUGCUUUAAUAGUAACGGAUGGAAAUCAAGAUCCAUGAAUCCAAAGUGAAAGAAGUGAGAAUUUACCUGAAGCUUUAUAUGUGUGUGAUUGCGUAAAAAGUUAUUCUGUUUGUCGAUAUCAUAUACAUUACCAGCAGUUUCUGUCCAUGACGUAUCAAAUCAUGUGAAAUCCCAAUUGCAGUGGGAUCUUCUCACUUUAAACGAAUUAAGGUGCUCGACAAUCGAGAAAGUAAAAAUGCAUGCUUUUUUUUUUGUGCCCUUCUUCUCCUUUGUUUUGGAGGAGAGCAGAAUGAUGAUGCUGAAGUUAGUUCGUAAAUCUAAGUCGACAUUUUCGAAAUUUUCUUAUUUUACCGCUGCAGAAUUCAAUGAACUACACUGGCUACAACCUCGUACAUGUUAAUUAUCGAGAUUUCGAACUUAAUGAAGCUCCAAAAUCCAGAACAAUAAUAUCGAAAAUAUGCUGCUUAUUUAACGUGCAUCUUAUUAACAAAUAUGCUGCUUCAUUAGUUAAACAUUUUAAUUGCUUCGACUACAUAUAUAUUUCAAAUUUUCACGUCUUAAUCCGUGUGAAAAUAGAAAUAAGAAUAUUAUCUCUGCGUGAGACGGAGGGAGGAAGUAAAAAUACACGGUCUCAUAAAUGAAAAUCUUUUGGGUUACAUUUAACUUAGUGGAAAUAAUAACUGUCUUUAAUCGAUCUGUAAACUGUAUACCAUGCAAGCCGAUGAGAUGACAAUUAUUUGUGAAUGUUUCGGGGUUUAUGCAUCAUAUAUGUUCAUUCGUUCUCUAUCCUAUAAACUUUCUUGUUGAUGAAAGUUUUUGAGAGGGAGAUUUCAAAAGCCGAAGAAGCAUCUACUAUACUUUUCUUUUCCCUUCUCUUCAACUUAUAAUUUUCUCCUCAACUUAUAUAUAGCUGCCUAUAUAUUCUUGGAGUCUUGGGUCUUAUUAUGUGAAAGAGGAGGAGGGAUUUCCUUUUUCUUUGUUUAUUUUUUAUAUCCUUUCUAUAGCAUCAAAUUUUUCUUUGUUUUUUUCCAGCGGGCCGCAGGGUAAUUAAUUGCCAAUUACCAACUACAGUUUAUUUGUCAGCCUCAUUUCUUCUAGAUAACCAAACUGUACCGUCAUUAACUCUGGAUAUCAAUCAAUGACGACGAAUUGGACCGAGUAAAAACCUACUCAGUCAGGCCGAUUGCAGGCCAAAUAACAAAGGAUUUCUAUUGCGCAUGCAUUGGGCGCCAUGCUUAAUCAAUCAAUGCUGCUGCUUUCUUAACCUUAUACCUUGAUACUAUCCAUGCUCUUCUCUUUCAAGUCUUCGCCUUAAUAUAUACAAAUACUAUUAUUAUGUUAACCGGUGAGAAAGGAGGACAUGUUAACCACUGGGGCUUGACAUGGCAUGGCAUGGCAUGGCAGUAACAUUUCACGUUCAUAGAAUUGGCAACCAAAGUCAAAAUUGCAGCAGCAUUAUGUCAUUGCGUUCUUGUAUUUUAAUCCGACUUUAGGCAUAUGAAAAUAAUAAAUAGUUUUCUCAUUUCAUGGACCCCUUCUAAUCAGAGAUUACUCGUUAAAGACAAUCUACUACUACUUUGUUUGGGACACCAGACAUUAUCGUUCGGCUUAUUUACUACUAUAUGACAUUUCAUUUAAUAAGUUCAAAUCUUAAUUUAAUAAUCAAAAAUAAAAUAUUUUAAUUAAUUAAGCGGCACUUAAUUUUUUUAAGGCAAGACUUACUCCAACAAAUAAUUGAUAAUCUAUUCACUUAACUAUGACUUAAUGCAAAAUAUACUUAAAUGUUAGGAUUUUAAUACUUAAUAAUUUAAUAGGUUCAUACAUCUCAGAUCUCAUAUUUCAAUUUGUAGACUUCAGUUUUAUGAAACGCAUGUAUUAAUGAGAAUUUACUAAUUUUCCGUGAAACCCCCCCCCCCCCCCAUAGUUUUGAUACCUUGUCAUGCCAAUUUUUCUCUUCUUCUAUUGAGGCAUUAAAAACCUUGAGAAGUAUGCCAACUUGCCAAAGUAAUUAAUUCACUCGUUCAAAGGUGACAUCUCCAUAAACUUCAAACAUUUUUGGUACCACUGCAUUUUCAAUGGCUUACUUUUUUUUUUCAGACUUUUGAAGUUAGUUAAUUAAACCUAAUUCCCAAUUUAACCCCAAAAGCCGUCAACUCGAUCUUGAGGCAAAUCUGGGGAUUUAACUACCCAACCCCCUAACUCUGAAGAAACGAUGCGGGACCACGAAAAGUUAGUAAGGCAGUCUCUACUAAGCCUUAAAGAAGAACCCGCUGUCCCCGAUACCCCUUUCAACGGCUUACUCGGUGCCACAGAAUUUGGUAGGGGUUGUAGUCGGCGAUGCUCAAAUAACUCCGCCAGAGUUAAGAUGGAUAGUGAAAGCUUCCCGUCUAAAUGCUUGUGCUAAUUAAUAAACUUUUUUUUAGUGAUUUUUUUUUUUUUGGGGGUGCCAAGACCAUGUGGAAAAUUUUACGUGACAAUUUUGGUUCAAUCUCGAUGCACAGCUCACAUAUUUCUAAUCAUGAUUCACUAUGGAAUAUAUUGGCGUCAAAAGUCCUGUACUUCUCCUGAAAAAGAAAAAAGAAAAAGGAAAGCUUUUCAAAUUUUUAGUACAACCUAAAUCAGUGAGCACAACUAGGAAUGCCAAUAUUCCAAUUCAAGUUGAUAUUCAAAAUUCUACAAAUAUUAAGAAAUUUGUUUUCAAUUGAUUCUGAUUUUUAAGAGGCCAAAUUCAGAAAUCAAAAUACCAGUACUUUGUAACCUUAGUUUAUUUCAAUUUUAAAAAAGGGUAUAUUUUGAAACAAAAAGCAAUUAAGAACAUCAAAUAACUUUUUGUUUUCCUAUUUUUUCCCUAAAUUUAGAAGCUAAAAACAAAUCAAAAAAUUAAUCGAGAACAAACCCCUAGUGAAUAGUUUAUCACCUUUUUUUUUUUUUUUUUUCUUUUGGGAGAAUUGGGUUAGGUGGUAAGGGAAGAGGGAUUGUAACUAAAAGAACCUUUCCCUUACAGAAAAAAUUUAAAAAUGUCACUUUAUUUGGGCGUAAAUAUGAUAAAAUUUGAGUCUAUUAAAUUGAAUUAUUAAACAGCGCUUUAAAUGUUUCAGUAGCACAAUACAACAUAAUGUGAAGUAAAACAUUAUGCAAUAUUUUUUUUGAAAGAAAACAUUACGCAAUUCUGCUAAGCAAUAUCACUCUGCCUAAAUAGAGAAAGGGUAUCAAAAAUUGCAAUGCAUUAUUGUAUGUUGACUGGGGGACCAAUUUUCACCAAGUUAAAUUCCCUACCAUUUGUAUUCUUUUUCCAGCAAUAUUGAAACUCAUCAAUAGUAUAUAAAGUGGACAUAGUCACAACUAUUGGAAGUAAAGCUUGCAAAAAUAAAAGAAAAGGAAAUCAAUAAUUAACCUCUCCCUUCCCACAUAAUCUUGAUUUUGACAUCUUUAUUUUCUCCCCAAAACUUCUUUUUCAAUUGGUUUGGUCCAUCCCCGUAGGAUUCUUCGGCCUGUUCCGCUCUACUUCAUACCAUACCAUGCCACUGUUUCAUCUCAGUAAUUGUAUAUAAAUGCUAACUCCACUUCUAUAACCGACCCAAACACCAAAAAGGCCUGAAGACAAUAGAACCAUUACACAAAACACACCAAAAACUUUUUAGAUUUGGGCUCUAAACUCAAGAAAGUGUCAAAAUUAGCCGACCCUUUUUCCAUAUUUCAUCAUAUUUUUCUGCCCAUAUGGGAUGCUAAAAUGCGUAAACAUUUGAUAUUUCUUGGUGGGUUUUAGAGGGAUUUCGAAGGACGUGGUAGUGAUGCAGAAGAGGAAGUGGAAAACGGUGGUGUUGGUCAGAAAGUUGCUGACUUUGGCCAUAGGUGCGAUAGCUUUGGUGGCUUUGAUGUCAGUACAUGUUCAUCUGGGACUUUCUCCCUCUGCUGUCACCAAGUCGCUUACAACGGUAUUUCUGUUUUACUCUCUUUCUUCAUUUACUUUCUUUUGAUAUUACUUAUUGAUUCUGUCAAAUGAAAUUUUGGGGUUUGAAGUUAUUAGAGCAUUUAUGAUGUCUAUAUUGCAUUUUUCCGGUUCUGAGGUAAUUUUGUAAUUUUUCAGUCUAUUAGUAUUUGUUUGCUACUUGCCUUUUUUUCCCAACCUAAUUCAGUAGAAAGCAUCUUUCUUUCUUUCUUUUUUUUUUUGUGGGGGGGGGGGGGGUGGGGGGGGGGGGGGGGUUGUGGGAGGAAGAGAGAAAGGAAUUUGGGAUGUCGGUUGGAAUCCGGUUGUUGAUACUGGUAUUCGAUUAAGUGAAAGAUCGGCAUUGGUACUUUUGUAUUUGAGGUUAGGUAGGAUCAUGGUGGAAAUUUAGUUCUCAUUGUUGCUUGUCCUGUUUUUGAAGAAUUUUACUGAUAUGGGUAAUUUUAAUCUUGUAGCAACAUGAAAUUAUGUCUCAGAACCUGCAAAGAGAGGAAAGAUGGAAUCAAGAUUUUUCUCCGCCUCAUUUGCCAAAAUCUCCUCGCUUUCGCACGGUACUGUGCUUUUCCUUGAAACGCUGUAUUUUCUUGGUUUAUGCAUUAUUGUCCUUCUAUUUUAAUUGACCUAUUGCAAAGAAGUUGCAUUCUUUCCUAUUGCUCGACAAAGAAACUGAUGUGCUUGUGGUGAUUCAUAUAAGAUGUGGCUUGAUUUUGAGUGCUGUAGUUGUAUGUGUGCAUAUGUUCCAUAAAAAGUAGUCAUGCAUCUUUCAUGUUUUCACUCUUUUAGAUUUGACAGUUGGACAGUGCAAGUGGUACUUCGGAUUUGGACAAGUUAUGGAAGCCGCCACCAAAUCGGGACUAUGAACCCUGUGUUGCCCCAAGUCCAUAUUACGCAUGUGAGUAACCUUUGUUUUCUUCUUCAUUCCAGACAAGGGGAGAUUGUUGUGGUUAUCUGAGUGCUCAUAUUAGACUUUGAUGUGGCACCAACUCUUAAUAAUACGCUAUUUUUUUUUCAGCUCCUCCGGAACCUCGUGGUUACCUGCUGGUUCAUGCAAAUGGUGGACUGAAUCAGAUGAGAGCUGGGGUUUGUUUCUCCUCCUAAGCCUGUUCAAAAGCAAUUGCAGUCUGCACAUUUCUUUCUUUCUUUUUGCCACAGGGACCCUUUUUUUUCUUUUCAAAUAUCCUCUUUUUUUGUGUUCUUUUUCUCUUUGUGCUCCUUUUUUUUCCUGGGGCUGGGACAGGUUAACAUUGAACCGUUCUUUGCCGGAUCACAUGUUUUCAAUUUUUCAAAUUUGCAUUUAUUUGUUGAUGUUGCUUAAAUACUUGUGAAUCUUUAACAAGUCAGUUCCCUAGACUGCUAGAUAAAGUUUAUUUGUUUUGCCAAGAACAUAAGCAAAUUGUGCUCAGGAUUUUGAAAAGGCUUUAAUUGUUUCAGCACUAGGAAAGGAAAAGUUUAACUGCUCUGUGCUCACCCUCUGAAUCUAAUAGCUCUCUGUGAUCAACCAUUGAAACAGUUUGCUAUGAAUCUUUGUUUUGGCUACUGUUCUGCUUUUUGUGCUAUCCCAUUUCAAUGUCAUGUAACUUUUUCGCCCCUGCUCAACUUGCACUUGUCUGACUAAUUCUAAUUUAUGUAGCAUAAGGUACAAAACUGGGACAAAGUUGUGCCAUGCAUAUGAUAUUGAACUUCUUCUAGGAUCUCUUUUCAAUAGCAAGCAAGUUAAGACAAAAGUGCUUUCUGAACUGAAGUUUGUUAACAUACACAGUGGGACUUAGCAUGGGAAAGUGAGAAUAAUUUUUUUCUUUUCUGUCCAGUUGCGCAAUGAAUUUGGAGUACAGAACUCCUACACAUAUAUAAGUAUAUACUUUUAAUGAGUGAAUGUUUAUUCCGGAACCAAAUUGGAAGUUGAAGAACCUGAUUAAUGCUUGCAGAUAUGUGACAUGGUUGCUGUUGCUCGUAUUAUAAAUGCAACUCUUGUGAUUCCAGAACUUGACAAACGCUCUUUUUGGCAGGACUCUAGGUACCUUUUUCCCCCCCCUUUCUUUUGUUUCAUUAGGACGAGAAUUGUUAAACUGUUUCUGGCACUUUAUUAUGUUAAUGUUAAUUGAUACACAUCUCACAUAACUAAACUGUUCAUGGUAUAUUGACAUUUGAUUCUUUUAUCUUGAACUGCAGCAAUUUUUCUGAUGUCUUUGAUGAAGCUCAUUUCAUUAAUUCCCUCACAAAUGACAUAAGAGUUAUCAAAAAGCUUCCCAAAGAACUUGUUGCAGCUACUAGAGCGGUUAAGCACUUCAGAAGUUGGUCUGGUGUGGAGUACUAUGAGGAAGAGAUAGCUAGCAUGUGGGAAGAAUAUCAGGUGCAUAUUGUGGAAAUAUAAUUUGGUGGAUGCUGGUUUAUAGAUUGUUGUUUUGCUACUAAAUGUUUAAUAUUUGCAGGUCAUUAGAGCAGCAAAGUCUGAUUCUCGUUUGGCAAAUAAUAACUUGCCGCUAGAUAUUCAAAAGUUGCGUUGUCGUGCUUGUUAUCAAGCACUCCGUUUUGCUCCCACAAUUGAGGCAAUGGGAAAGGUUGUUUCCAGGCUGAAUGCUGCUUUAGUUUUAGUUGCUUUAUUUUUCUCGUCUAUGAUACUGAAUCAGCUUCUGUUUCUCAUAGUUGUUGGUGGAGCGAAUGAGGGCCUUUGGUCCCUACAUUGCUUUGCAUUUAAGAUAUGAGAAGGAUAUGCUUGCCUUUAGUGGAUGCACGCAUGAUUUAUCCCAAGAAGAAGCUGAGGAACUAACGGCAAUUAGGUACAUCUUAUCAUGUACGACUAUGAAGUGGUCCUUGUGCCUUUCUACUAAUGGCCUUCCCUGAUGCGUAUCCUAUUAAAUUUAUAGAGAAAACACCACCUGGUGGAAAGUAAAAGAGAUUGAUCCUAUAGAGCAGAGAGCUAAAGGUUACUGUCCAUUGACUCCAAAGGAGGUUGGGAUGUUCCUUAGUCUUCUUGGAUUUUCUUCAAACACCCCUAUAUAUAUUGCUGCUGGAGAGAUAUAUGGAGGUGAUUCCCGGAUGGCUGAUCUAAGGUCACGCUUUCCCUUAUUGAUGAACAAGGUAAAAUCAUAGAAAAAUGUCUUUAAUUGUAAAAGUAUGCUAUCCAGUUAAAAAUAGCCAUACAUGUGGAAUAGCAGAGUUUACAAUGAUCGUUGUAAAAGUGCAUUAUUCAGUUCAAGUCCUCCUGCCAAGAAAACAAAAGAAGAUUCUUACCUUUUGAUAUUCACCUCUAACUAAAUUGGACUUCAAGUACAAAAAAAAUUUGGGGCUAGCAGAUUCCUUGUGAUAAGUUGAGAGAUGCCUUUAAUUUGCAUGAUUUUCCCCCUACCUUCUGAUGAAGUGCAGAUUGGUUUAGAUUUAUUGUUCCUAUGCAGGAAACAUUGGCCACUUUCGAGGAGCUUGAACCAUUUACUAAUCAUGCUUCUCAAAUGGCUGCAUUGGACUACAUUGUGUCAGUUGAGAGUGACAUAUUCAUUCCUUCAUACUCUGGAAACAUGGCAAGGGCAGUGGAGGGACAUCGACGUUUUCUUGGGCAUAGAAAAACUAUUUUACCGGAUAGGUAAGGAUUUUGUCUAGGUUUUGAAAAUUUGCAUCUCACUUCCAGUCCCAGCAGGACUAAAACUGCUUUUGUAUAUAUCCGUUGAUUUAUCAGCAAAGCACUUGUUCGUCUUUUUGACAAAAUUGAGCUGGGGACGAUGAAAGAAGGGAAAAACAUGGCAAGUCGAGUCAUUGAGAUUCACAAAAGGCGGUAUGUUGAAGCAAAUAUCCCUUAUUUGGUGCACAUGUUUAACUGGUAGUUUUAUGCUUGUCAUGUUUAACUGGUAGUUUUAUUAGCAUUAAGCAUCAGGAUUACGUUCUGCAUGAAGAUCCAUUUCAUCUUUUAGAGUGCUUAUACAAUAAGUGCAUGUACGUAGAUGUGUAAAAAUUACUAAUGUAACAGUGAUGAUCACAGCAAGUAGCAGUUAUGUGAAUUAUGAGCAUUCAGUUGCUCUACGUCACAUUGAUGCUAUUAGAAACUUACUUCCAUAUGAAUAAGGUUUUCGAUAUUUACGUUACUUGUCUAAUACUGAUUGUCAGGCAAGGAUCUCCGAGGAAGAGAAAAGGCCCAAUUUCUGGAACGAAGGGAACUGAUAGAUUUCGGUCAGAAGAGGCAUUUUAUGUGAACCCGUUGCCAGAUUGUCUAUGUCAGAAGGAAUCUCGAUAUACAAACAGUUCAAGAAUCAGAAGGUAGCCAAUGAAAGUGCAGAACACAUUCUUCUGGUUCUUUGAUGGCUUUGGGUGUGCAUCAACGCCACAAUGUGCAUGUAAUUAUUUAUUGAAGAUCGAGCCAUUGGUGCCACCAUUUAUAGAUCAUUGGAUGUGCAUAGGCUUUUUACACAGAUCCAGGGAGACUCUUGACUGAUAGAUAUACGCAUAAACCAUUUGCAACGAUUGCAGAAGAGAGAUCAUUUUAGGUCGGCACUUAUUUUGUUCAGCAUAGGAUUUGUUUGUUCGGCGGAGUAUAGGAGAGGAGGCAUUUGUAAAAAGAGAUCAAUACGCAAAGUGAAUGUAAGCAUUCCGUUCGUUUACAAUAAAGCUAAGCUUUUGGUGUGCUAGCCAUUCUUGGAUAUUCGUCCAAUGCAAUAAAAAAUGGGAGAUCAUUUUUCCCUUCAAAGAACUUGAUUGAUUCUUAAACUGCCUUUUCGUUUUCUGUUCAGAUUCCCAGGGUUUUUCUUCUGAUCUUGUGGCUAACAUUUUGCUCCUCUUUCACUGUAUUAUUUUCCUCUUGCAAAGUUGGCAAAUGGGCUAAUGUCCUUCAUGCAUAGUUUUGAGCUAGGUAUCCUUUUCUGUUUAUAACCUUUUUUUUUUUUUUUUGCCAAAUAAAUUGAAUCACACGCUUAAUUCUAGAUACUACUGUUUUUUCCAGCCUUCGAACAUGAUGAAUUACUAAUAGAUCUACCUAAUUUGGAAAAGAGAAAGAAAUUACUCCAUGGGUCCAAUGGCACGGCUGCUUUGGUGAAUUGCGAAGACAAGAGUCUCCUGAAUCUUGGAAAUUCGAAUAAUUGACAAAAGUCUUGCAGUUAUCUGAUAUCACAGCUUAUCAAUUGAAUUUGACAAUUACCAGCUAAAAUUUUUUUUUUUUAAAAAAAUUACCCUUUUGUUUGUUAGAUUUUCUUUUUUCCUCCCCAUGUGUUAGAUGCUUAGACAUUAGUCAUUAUACUUUAUCUUCAUCCUUUUUUGAGUUUUCUUUUUUUCAUUCUUUUCCAGUUUGGUGCAUGUCUAAGGUUGAGGAAAUGAAAGUUUUAAAGGAUAGGAGGAUGACUAGACACCACAGCGCAUUUAGAUAUGAUGAUGAGGGCAGUGUACAUAGUCAGUCACACGUCGACUCCCAAUUGGCCCCGUAAUGAUACUAUAUCCUUUGCACCUUCCUCUUCGCUACUUCACACACUUCACGUACAUAGACAGAGACACUACUAUCCAUCCCCUCCCUCUCGAAGAAACUGCGAGAAAGAUCAACUGGGGAUGGUCUCCUUCGUCUCAACCGUCCCUUCCUUCCUUGCAGUAGUACCUGCACCAUCCAGCACUACCUCCAGACACCCCCCCGUUAAUGCUGUAAGUACAUAGCAGUCUGCAUUAAUUUGUUGUGCUGAAUAAGUUUUGAAUUUUUUUCUUUUUUUUUUUUGUUUUUUCUACCACUACACUCAACUUUCUUUCUUUUUUUUCUUAGUGUGAAUGAAAGGGCUCGAAUCUGAAACCUUUCACUUACACUCCUCCUCAAGAACCACCCAACCCAUCGCUCCCUCCCCCAGUGUACUCAGCUUAAUUACUUUGACAUCUGUUGCAAUUUAAAGCAAAACUGUCCAUGCAUGCUUGGUUGCAAUCAGGAGCACUUUUAAUUGUUGUUUCUCUUUCUCACAUUCUUUUUCUUUACCGCUAUAACUAUAUGUUGGACCCUGUCAAUAUGAUAAUGCUGUUUUGAUUCUGUUCAGAAAUGGCUAUAAUGUAGUAUGCCUUAGUUUCAAGACUUUGUCGUAUUCAGGGCAUAGUUUGCUGCAAGAUUGAAGUGGAUAAUGUGCAACGACAUGGCUUUCGUAGGCGAGAUAUGCUGCACGGCAUUGGUGCUACUAUUGGCAUGGUGAGAUUCUUUCGUUUUACAUUUGUUCAGGGUUUCCAUGUUUGAGUUGUUGGCUUCUAAUUUUGGAUUGUAUACUUUGCUUUAGAACUUUAGAAGCUUAUAUAUUCUUGCUAACAUUCCUAAAAGAAACUAGCCGCAGGGAUCAUAUUUUUCACAUACAUACUAGUGAGAUAUUGUACUAGAGCAAGGUAUGCUGAUAAUAGUUAAAAUGUGUGUGCAAUUGGAAAAAGUGCAUUGUAAAACUCUAUCAAACAAGCUGGAAAAAUUAAGUGGUUUUUGUUUCUUUAAGCGUGAUUUGAUGAUGAGUUUCCAUCAGUUAUAAUUUUCCCGUAGGACGUAAUGGCCAGAUCCUGCUUAUUUGUUGAAGUGGCCAAUGCGGCUGACUUGAUACAACGGAGACAGCGUUCAGAGUUUCAGUGUGAGCUAUCCAUAUUCGUGUCAUUUUGAAAUCCACUUUGUUUUCUCUUCUUCAUUGGAUGAACCUCUUGUGUCCUUUUCUUUUUCCUUCUUAUUGCUAUCUUAGCAAGCGUCAAGGCUACCCUCGCUACAGCUAUAAAGGUAAAAAGAGCUGAGUUCAUGAUGGUUAUUAUGUCACGUGAAUGGAUUAAGCUUAUGUCAAUGAGCAAUUUAUCACUUGUACGGUCUGUGUCUUUCUCCAGGGGAAUCCAGAUCUCAUUCCACCCAUACUGACUUUAGCACUUAAUGACUCUGUGACUUAUGAUAAGGUCAGGGUUGAGUUUUGUAAAUUGCAUACAUUUAUUCAAUGGAAGCACAAAUGACUUGCUUAUUCAUAAUUGCUUAUUUACAGAGUACAAAAUCUGGCGGUCCAAAUGGAUCAAUUCGUUUCAGGUAGUUGUAAUUUCCAUGUUGCAGAGUGCUAUUUUUGGCCUCAAUCUAGCCGUAGGGUUUAUCUUACCCGGAAUUCCUACUUGAAUAGUGAAGUAUCUUAUGACUUUUGAGCUAUUCAGUCAGUGUAUCCAAUGUUAAUAUUCCAUGUGCUACAGAUGCUUGCUACUUUGAUUUUCUCCAUAAAAGGCAGAUAAACUCUGAAAUCGCUAGCAUCCGUUAACACAAAAUUGGAUAGGAAAAUAGAAAAAUAUGGAUAGCUAAGUUUCUAAACUUGUUUUCUGAUUUUCUCAACUCCAUAGUCUUAAGCACCUUAACUUCUUGCUUAGAUAAGCCAGAUAGCCUUAUUCAUCUUAUUUUUUAUUCCCUUGAUUGAAGCUCAGAGAUCAGCAGACCAGAAAAUAAGGGCCUUGCGGCUGCAUUGAACCUGUUAGAGGAAGCCAAAAAGGAGAUUGAUUCAUAUUCCAAAGGGGGACCAAUGUCAUAUGCAGAUCUGAUACAAUAUGCAGGUGAGGCAUAUAGGUUGAACAUGGUUGAACUUCAGCAUUUUAUUGCACCGCACCAUUAUAUUUGAACAGCAUUCAAUGUUAAACAAACUCCAACUGACAAUUUGCUCCAUUACCAGAAUAAUACUUAAAAAAAGCUGUUAUUCAAAAAUAUUGAACUAUGAUAGAGCAUAAAAAACAAGAAAAUUAUUAGCUUUCUGAAAGCAUGGAGCUUUUUACAUAACUAGAAAAAGCUAUGUACAGUUAGCAAGUGCACAUCCUAAGUACAGAGUCCAGAUUCAGAGUACAAUACUGCAAACUGCCAUUAAAGAUGAAAAGCAAAAUGAAAGUGUCAAGUUAGUCUAGGAAUUUAUUCAGAUGCCUCUAACAAAAAUGGAUAUUAGUUGAUCACUUUUCUUCACUGCUAUCACUUGUUAAACACAAAUAUUCAAAUCUUUUCAUGUUAUUGCCUCAAUGUUCCUUUCUUAAUUUGAUUUGCUUGCUUGGUGCAGCACAAAGUGCAGUAAAAUCUACCUUUCUAGCUGCCGCCAUUAAAAAAUGUGGUGGCAAUGAAGAAAAAGGCAAUUUGCUAUACACUGCAUACGGGUCAAAUGGACAGGUUAUUUUUGUGUAACCCCAGAUUGCAUAUCACAAAAGCAUUUAUCUUUAUUUUACCUUUUUGGUAAACUGGAGUCCAAAUAAAUAUUCUAGAGUAUUAAAAGUUAGUUGCUUCAAUCUUUUCUUUUGUUGUAAAAGCCUUUGAGUUUUUACAUCAAAACAAUCUCAAUGCAUAUCUCAAGCACCCUGAAAUUUCAUCUGUAUAGGUGAAGCACCUGCAAAGAUUAAAUUGAAUGAUACAUAUAGCUUUAUCUCUGCGGUGAAUUCGUUCUUGAAGUUGGAACUCCUCUGAAAAAAACUGCUCCAAGCAUGAUAAAAGUCGCAGAAUAGAAACUUUCACACACUCUUGGAAAAGUUAGCAUUUGUUUCAUUACUACCAAUUCAGUGCAAUAAUGUACAUGGCCCAGCAACUUUGCUGGGCAGCUCUUUUCCUCGUUGUCAUUACCAUAGGAAGAAUGAUGAACUACUUAUCAAUCAUUACCUGCACAACUUUUAAAAUGCGCCAUGUUUGUGUUCCUGCAUUUAAAUGUUGAAAACAAUGAAAAUAGCUCUACCUGAUGAUCGUGCGCUUUCUCCAUAAAGUGGGGCCUGUUUAAUCGGGAAUUUGGGCGGUCAGAUGCCCAAGAACCUGAUCCAGAGGGCAGGGUACCUCAGUGGGAGAAAGCAAGUGUUCAGGAGAUGAAAGAUAAAUUCACUGCUCUCGGCUUUGGUCCACGUCAGGUACAUUGAGUUUCAGUUAAAACAAAGACAAAAGGAAACUUGCAGUCUGUUAUCUUCAAAUAUAUCAUGCACAUUCCCCUAUUUGUUUUUUGAACUGUAGUCAUGUAAGCUUUAGGCUUCUUGUUGAAGAAACUACUCAAUGAAUCUUCCCUUUCCUCCUCUCCAUUAGCAUAUGCUUUACCACAUUUUGCAAGAUGCCUAUUACAUUUCUAUCUAGUUAUUGUCAUAGUGAUCUUAGAAAUUCAGAAAUCCCAAAUUUGCCCAGUUGGUUUACCCGUAUAGCUGUAUCCUCUGCAUUUGAACACCACUCUCUUCUAUUGAAAAAGUAUCUUGGGGGAAAAAAGAGGUUUUUUUUUUGAUCACACAGUCAUAUUCAUGUCAUGUUGCCCAGCUGGCUGUUAUGUCUGCAUUCCUGGGGCCUGAUCAGGCUGCAACCGAAGCAUUGCUAGCAACAGAUCCAGAUGUUUCUCCAUGGGUUCAGAAAUAUCAACGCAGCCGAGAGACCGUGUCUCAAACCGACUACGAGGCAAGGACCAUGUCCCUUUUUCUUCUUCUUAUCCAAGAAAAUUGAUUGACAAGUGUAGCUAGAGAAGUAUUUGGCUGAGCAUCUGUGUUAAGUACCAUAUCAAAGAAAUGUUUAGCAAGUUGAUAAUUUACAAUUUGACAGGCUCAAGAUCACGCACCAAAUCUGUUGUCUUUCUUCAGGCAAACUUGUUGGUAGUUAAUUUAUCCUCUGGAACUAAUCCAUCACAAAUAGGUUUUGAUGAUACACAUUGAUCGUGAAGCUGUAUGUUGUGACAAGAAAUGCUUGCAAGUUACUGAUUCUUGCUUAAGCUACAUGUCCAUGAUGUAUGCUGACAGUGGUAUCGGUUGUUUUUUCAGGUUGACUUGAUAACAACUCUCACAAAACUGAGUUCUUUGGGCCAACAGAUCAACUAUGAAGCAUAUACCUAUCCUGUCCAGAAAAUUGAGUUGAGCAAACUCAAACUGUAAAUGUGACCGCCAAUUUCAGUGAGUUAAGUAUCGAGUUCAAAAUAUUGGCAGGAACACAAUUUGUUUUAAACCAAAUAGGUAUUGCAGACUUGCUUCCACAGUUUUCAGAUAGCAGAGUUUGAUUUGCCGCAGGACAUGGCUGAACAAAUUACUGCUUUUUGCCAAAUUAGCAAACUUUACGUAAUCUAGUCUCCUGGCAUUGAUUAAUUUGUUGCUUUGUGGCCCAUAUAAGAUGGUUAUUAUUUUCGUCUUGUUAUCAUUUGCUACUCACGCUUGAAUAAUGUAUUUUGAUGCGGUAAUACUCUCAAAGCCUCUCUUCAACUCCUGCCUUUAGCAUAUAGGGGAUGCGUAAACAAAAGCUGAUAAGAAGGAAAAGGUAAAUGAAGAGACAAUCUAGAGAGAGACCUGCAGGCGGAGACAGCAAAUUUAUCCUACUUUGGAACAACCUUUUUUUUUUUUUUUUGAGUAGUUUAAGAUAAAAGUCCGAUAACUACAUCUUUUUUCAAUUUCCCAGGUAGUAUAAAUUUCACUCAUCGUUCUAGAAAACUGGUAAAAUGUCGAAAUCAGUCAACUUUUACAAUGUCAAGAAUGGAAAAAGAAUGUAUAUAUUGCAAAGGUAUCCUAUUUAUAUUUGUAGGAGAUUACGUGAAGCCCACCCAUGAAAGGCCUUAAUAUCUCAGGUAUAAUAACAGAGCCAUCUUCUUGCUGAUAAUUUUCAAGCAAGCAUAUAAUCAUCCGUGGAACUGCACAAGCUGUGGCGUUUAGCGUAUGCACAAAUUGUGUGGGAGCGGAAUUGCCUUUGCCCUUUCUGGGACUAGACGAUGAUGACUCUGGUCGAAAUCGAAUUCCCAGUCGUCUACUUUGAUAAUCUGUACAAUUUGAUGCACUUGAAAUCUGUCCAUCAAUCCAACAAACUAGCUCAGAAGAUCCUAAAACGCAAUAGCAAAAACAUAUGGACGAAAGGCUAAGAGAAUCAGUGCAUUGUAAAACUGCAGCUUAGAUGUCUAAGCAGCUAAUUAGACUAUAGUUGAAAUACUAAAUUCUUGGCAGCUAAAGAAAGCAAGAAUAAUGCCCAUACCUCGCCAUAACGUUCCAAACCAGGCAUCCAUGCCUCCACAUCAAAUUUCCUGUAAGCUGGGGCACCUAAAUCCUCUGAUGCCAUAUCCAAUGUCCUGAGAAAUGCAUUGACAUGUAAAGAUUGAUGAAUGGUGAAUUCGCUGAACUCUUGGGAACAUAAAGGAUGUUUAUAGGCACAACAGAACUGCAAGUAGAAUUAGAAUCGCACUUAAAAUGGAGUCCUAGUGAUGAAUAAAGGCUUUCUUCAAUUUCAAUCAGUUCCUGAUGGAAAGAAUCACUUUCUUCUGGUCGGCAUAGUACAAACAUCUCGACCUUGCUGAAUUGGUGAACCCGAUAGAGACCCCUGCUCCAAUAAUAUAGCCCAAUGAUUAAUUUGAUGUGAGAACAAAAUAAGUUACAUGACAUGAAGUUUUUUGCAUUAUAAUCUAUAACUUCAGUUGUAAAAUAUCCCAGUUUAGCAAGAAGUCCAAUUAGACCCCCAUUUUAAAAUUAAAAAAAUUAGUGCUUUGCAACUGAAAUUACACACUGAAAUUCAACCAAAAGGAGAAGUCCUCAAAAAAGUUUUUUAAAAAGAUAAAGCACGAAACGAGCUCAUUAAAGGAUUUUUAGAUAAUUGCCCAUUCAUCCUCUCAUUUUGUGCCUGUCAUGUCCGCAAUACCAUUCUCCUCGGUUAAAGUUCACUUGUAAAGUUAAGGAGAAAACGUCGAACAAAUCAUUAAAGCAAAAUUAAACAAUGAAUGAAACAAUAUUAAUUACCAAGUACAAGAGAUCAACACAAGGCACAACACUUUAUUUCAAGAGCACAACAAUGGAAAUUUUACUGUAAAUCAGAGGCAAGAACAAUAUCAUCUUCAAUGGAAAGAUUUGUUUAUUACCUAGUUGCAGUGCCCGCAGCACCAGCUUCAGUGCGAAAGCAAUGGGAGAAAGCUACAUACUUCAGAGGUAAAGAUGACUCUAAAAGUAUUGAAUCCAUGUGAAUUCCUCCCAGUGGAAUCUCUGCGGUGCCAAUAAGGCAUUGAUCACCUCCCUCAAUUGAGUAAACCUAUCAGUAUUUGUUAAAAUUAAAAAUGAUAAAUAAAUCCACUGAACUUCAUGUCCUGUCUAUGAAACACUAUCAACAUUGAAGGAAAUAACCAGAUCCUUUUCCCAGAUUUGGACAAUUCAACAAUGGAGGUCAUUUGUAUUGGCACCAUCUCUAAUCACCUGAGUGUUUGUUCCACGUGGUUGAAAACCACAUUUUUCCACAACAGAGGACCGGACAAUCUCUGGUGUUGUGAGAGGUGUAAAGCCUCUUUUCAUUACUUCUGAGACUGCCCAGUUUACAAGGCCCAUUUCUAACAGAACAGCUUCAUUCUUUAGGUAAUAGAAUUUUGAUCCACUGAUCUGCAAGAAACACAUAAUAUAUACAUGAAUGCAAAAGUAGUGCACCAGUAAUCAAGUUCAAACGUCAUUUGUGCCAUGCAACUAUGGAAUGAUUGAAGACAUAAUAGCACAGGAGCCAAAUUUUGACGGUUAAAAAAAGAGCAGCCAAAAUCAGGUGUAUCGUGCAAACUAUAAGUAUGUGCAAAGAUAUGAUUAUCCAGCAUGUUCUGUGCCACGUAUAAUUCUACAGGAUAUGCUUAAUUUGUAAGUUCCAAAUUUACAGUGCAUAGGGGAAUCGGAUUAUCUGAGAUGACAAAACAAAAUCUGCAUUCUUUGACUGUGUUGAACCCAAUAAUAAGCAUUUUUCCCACUAGGCUCAUCCCCCACUCUUCCACAAAGGCAGAAAUAUCAUAUAAACUGGAAGAAGCAUGCAAAAUAGUGCACAACCAACUCUUUCUACACCCUAUAAACCUUGAAUAUGAGACUAUUUGAGAGGGGAAGCACAUUAUUACAGCAACAACUGGAAAAAAAAGGGAGAGUAUAGUGCACAAAGAUUAUAAACAGACAACAGACAGAAUAAAGCAUAAAUAGCAACUAUUUUUCUAUGGCCAUCUUUGCAAGGAAAAGGAGCUUCAGCACAUUGACAAGAAACAAAGAUUAUAUGUUACUUGAAUUGCAACCACACGCAACUCAGGGUCAGAAACCUGUAAAUCACACUCUGGAGGUCCUAAAGUCUCGUCUUCAUGGAAGAUAGGAAGCAGGGUGCAAUAUGCAAAUAACUGAUGAUAGAGUAAUUAAACACCUUAGAUUAGAGUGAAUACCUCAGCAGCAGCAUCAAAAUCAAACAGAUCUAGGUCUUUUCCAAGUUGUGCAUGGUCCUUUAUUGGGAAACUGAACUUACGAGGCUCACCAACCUACCAGAAGAUAUUGAGAAGUCAAAGAAUGAGCCAAAAAGAGAAAGCAGCAACAAAGUGAUUCUAGGACUCAGCGAAGAAGUGUAUAACCAUAUUCCUCAAAGUAGAGGCAUCUUCACCUCCAACUGGAACAUCUGGAUGCGUCAUAUUUGGUAUAGAUUGUGCUUCCUUCUGAAGUUCAUCAGUAAGCUUUAACAAAUCUUCUUCCAAAGUAACAAGCCCUUCCUUUAAGUUCUUUCCUAUAGAAAAAUUUCAAGGCAGAUUGAAUCAUAGUAUUACCAGCUGAAAGAUUCCAGGAGAGAAUAUGAUGCAAACCUUCUUCUAUGAGUUUCUGACGCUCAGAAGGCUCUAAUUUUCCUUUCAUCUUGCUUGCAACCACAUUUCUCUCUGCUCGAAGCCUUUCAACUUCCUGUUAUCUGUGAUCAAAUUAGCUAAAAUUGAGAAGAAACCAGCAUGUAGUAACUUUGUUUAAUCCAAGAAUCAGAAAGAGAAACUAAUAGCAUUCGAUGACAUCAAUGUCAAUAGGAAGAUUAACAAUUGAAAAGGUGAUUUUUCACAUCCCAAACAGAAAGAUCAAAAUUAUAUAUUAAACAACAGCAGCACCAAUCCAACUGAGGGGAAAAAGAAGUUAAUGCUGUUAAUUGGCCCAAUCCAAAAAUUAGCAUUGCAAUGAAGCGAAAAUUUGCAACAAGAAAACGCAUGACAAAAAUAUAUAUUAUGUAAAAAAGGUUCCCUAUAAAGAUGAAAAGAUAGAAAGCCUUACCUUUUGAACAUUCAACAACUUGUCAUAAAGCUCAAGAACAAGUUCCAGAUUAGCAUUGGAGUUCCUAAUCCUUAUAUUGGUUGCCACGGCCUCUUUAUUCUCUCUUAUCCACUUGAAAUCAAUUGCUGCUUUCCAUUGAGGCUUCACCGCUAAAGAUUAAAAAAAACCCACGACAAAGACUCAAUUUUUUUCCCAAAACAAAGCACAAAAUUUGAUGCACAAAACCAUAUAGGUGAGUUGAAGUACUGCUGACCUUUGUUGCUAUCCUUGGCGGGGGCUGAGACGGCAGGAGGGAUGGUGGUUUGGGUGGCGGUAGAAGAGAAAGCUCUGGCGAACAAGAAAUGGCGGGGAGUUGGAAAAGAGAUGGUGGCGAUGGUUCUGAUUUUGGGGAGUGGAGAGAGGGAGACGGACGAGGAGAAGGAGGAAGAGCAGGGGAUUGUAGCCAGUUUUAACGUUUGAAAAUUGGUUUUAGUUAAACAACAAUGGAGUCCCAUUUUUUUCUGCAGGAUGGAGCUAAGUUUGAACUGGGCAGUAGCAAGAAAGGGAUGGCUUUUAUCCAAGGCCUCCUUCGGGAAUUUUAUGAGGGAAAAAAAAAAGGACCAGAGAAGAUAAGGUGCGUGAUAGCAAGUAGUCGACUAGUAGUAAAAGAGUAGAAAAGGAGACAGAUGUGAACUGUUAUCUGAUAUCUUUGUUAAGUCCAAAGGAAAAAUGGAGUUUGAUUUUCAUUUUGUUCUUGUAAAAGUACAAAACUUGGUAACUUGAAAACUUCGAUAAGCUUCACAUAGUUUUGCUUCCCAUUGAAAUAAAUGCAUACAAUUGCAUGUUUAGGGGAAAACAAAAUGCUUUGACAUUCUUUUGUGUAAGAGCUUCUAUAAUUAUGCAAAAACAAAAAAGUAUUUUAACAACUAAAUGAAUUAGAUUCAACUCGUAAAUCUUUUCAAGACCACUUAAAUUUUUUGCUACUCAAUUUUUUCAACAAGGUACAUGAAAAUGUAAUUCAUUGUUUGAAUGGUUAAAGCUUUCAAAGCUGCAUGUCUUAAAUGUUGCAUGAGGCUUUAUGCAUCUUCUGCUCUCUAGUUGCUUUUGUAGUUUGUGCAUUUCGUUUGGGUUUCUGGAUGUUUAUCAAAUGGUAUAGUGAUUCAACAGUUGCUUCUUUGGUUUCUAUAGCCAAAUUUGUAGAGAAUAUUGAGCAACAAUUAACAAAGUGACCAUUAGGAUAGUAUUACAAAUUGUGCUCCAUGUAUAAGAAUUUCAGUUGGGGUAAGUUUUGGAGUGAAAAUUGAUGAUGUCGUUCAGAACCCUCAAGAUGUUAACAUGGGAGUAAAGUGUACAUUACCUAGGUAUUGGGGGGCAAAGUGUCACUCACUCCCCAAGUUCAGGUGGAUAAGUGUAAUUAACCACCUAAAAAGCUGUUUCGAUAUUAGAACCAUGCUUUCUAAACUUAUGUUAAUUUUUGCAUUUUGGUUCCAUCAUUGCGUGACGAAAACAAGCAAUGAAGCAAACCAAAUUCGUUCUGGAAUGGGAGGGUACUUGACGAUAACUCCAUAAGCAAUCUGUAUACAUCUACUGAGAUUCAUGCACCAGUCUGCUUUCUCAUGUCACUGGUCUAGAAAAUCUAGCAUGGUAACUACCAAAUAGUUCCACAAGUUCUAAUAAGCUUUAUUCUGUGACACGUAGAAAAAUCGUUUGCCCAGUAAGAAGUUCUAACCGGGCAUCCGCCCAAUGAUUCAUCACUGUUACAAAUGUCAAGCUUGACAAAGGGAACAAAGAGAGGUCUACUCAAAGGUAUGAUCAUUCUUCAGCGGCAAAUUCAUUGGUUGAGGAGCAACAAGUUUCGUGCUUGAACAAGCUCCAAUAUAGAAUACAGAAGCCAAAAUUUUUAUUAUCUCGGUUGAUUGAAAAGGAUUCUCUCUAUGCGUAUGGAAAGACAGCAGGCAUCUCGCAAGUCAACUCCAGGAACCAUCUUCGAUUGGCUGGCAUCAUCUACAAAGGUCCCGGAAAGGUGCCAUUCUCCCUUUGCUCGUUCCAUCUAUCAAUCUGCAGGGUUAAAACAUAAUGCAGAAACAUAAAAACCAAAUACUAGAAAGAAACCAGGAAAUGCACUUUCAAUGUUCAUGCAGACUUGAAUUGCUUUCUUGACAUCUAGAUUGCAGUCGUGAUCUAGCAGUGCAAAGUAGCAAGAUAUUGUGUCCAACCAGUAGACAACAAAAUCAUUUUUAUCAGAAAUCUCCGUGCAUUUUUUCCUGGGUUUACUUUAUUACUUCUUUGCAAGGAGGCCAGGAGGCCCAGGACAAAGCACGAUGUCACCAGUGUCAUGGAUUUAUGAUUCUAGCACCAACAUCCUAGAGUAUCCCGUCUGUCCAUGAGUAGAAAGUUGUGAAAGCAAAGCAACAUACCCAUUCCCCUGGGCAAAGUGAACGAUAAUAUUUGGCAAACUUCUGACACUCAGAGGCACCUUCGCCCUUUGCUGCUAUGCACCUGAGAAAAUAAACUGGGUUAUGAUGCUGGAAUGCCCGGACUAAUUCACUAGCCUAACUCAAGCACAGUCUGCACAGCCUAACGAAAUAAAAAGUAAAAGAUAGAGCAGAUGCCAACAAGAACAACUCACCUAUGGUAUUCAAUAUAUCGGGUAAAGCAAUGCCUGGUUUGAUUUGUAGUUGGGAAACGGAAGUCUGCAGGUGCGGUCUCAAGCUGGUAACGAGGACAAUGAAGAGAUGAAUAAACCAAACAUCGGGAAUACAAGCAAUGGAUAAAGGUCAAAAUCAAUUAGCAAGUAAACCAACCGUAAAAUGUGGAGCAUCUUCAAUGGAUUCUUGAUCACCUGCCACCUCACUUUCAGCACUUUCACUAGCAGGUGUAUCAUCUCCAGAGCCAGCCUCAGCAGCAGGAGUGGCUUCAGUGCUUUCUCCAGCAGCAGUAUCAGAAGCUUCACUGCUUCCAUCAGCACCAGUAGGAGGGACUUCACUAUUUUCAACGACAGGAGUAUCCUCAGCUUUCUCGACAACUUCUUCUGCAACAGUAAUAUUUUCUGAAGUUUUAACUUCAGCUUCUUCCACAGGUUUUGUUAUGACUUCAAAUGUUUCUUCUUUUCCCUUCAAUAGAUAUUGCUGCUAGGCAAAAGAAUUAUCAGACAAUCAGGUAUCACAGAGAAACAAAAGAAAGCAAGUGUUGCCUAUCCAAAUCCACAUGCACAAGUCAUCAAAACAAAAGUACGGCAACAACAAGAAAUGAAUUGGCAUCAAUUGUGCAGAAGCUGUAGAAAACUAACCAACUAGAAUGGAGUCAAGGAGGCAUGACAAGGUUUAAUCCGUAAUAUAAAGCUGCAUGUUAAGUUUGCAAAAAAGAAAAUUACAAAUGCAUCGUGGAAGAUGAAAGCUCAAGACAUCACAAAAUUCUGAAGUCAUUAUGCCAGGAAAAUGUCACACAGAGAGGAAAAGUUUAAGGACACAAGCAUUUAAGAAGGCAAGCCAAAACUAAAGCUUGUCUUUCCAGCUUCUCAACUGUUCCUGAACCACUAAUUUGGAGGUUUAUUGUAAAAGUGAAACAGGUUCUUUUCUUAGUCUGCCUGCUUUUACUCAAACAUGAAUCUUUCCUUCCUAAGAUAUUAGUAAAAAAGCAUUUACUGUUACCAUACUUCCAUUCACUCAAUUUUACUGAACCAAAGAUUUAUCUAAACUCAGGUCAAGUAAGUUCAGGAUACUUGGGCGCUCCAGCUAAAAUCACAUAUCAGCUAGCACCCUUGCUUUCAGUAACAACUAUUAAAGCAUACUUUUCAUCUAUAACUGCUCACUGAAUAAGCUCAAUAUUUCUCUGGAUAUAUUUUGUAUAUGGACCUUCUCUCUGUUUUGAGUUGUACAAGGAUAACCAUCAGCUCAGCCAACAGAAAAGCACGAAAAGACCAAAUCUUUGUAAACCAAUUCUGGAAGCAAACUGUCCAUUAAACAGUACAUCUUCAGCUCAGGGAAUAUGCCCUAAGCUUGUUACAUUGCAUUACAAGCUCCUUUGUACUAGAUAGUACAAGUAGUAAACACGGCUGAUUCACGGCUACGAGCGAUUGAAUGCACACUUCAUAAAAACUAUGUUAUCGUGCAAAAUAUAACUUGUUAUCCUACUUAUCAGAUAAACUGCUUACAGAACUUCUCAUAUGCAGUUAGUCCGCAAUAUCGCAGGGAAAAACAUGUUCCAACUUGAAUUUUAAAGAUUCAAUCGUACAGGUGAUAUGUCAAAUGUAUCAUUCAAUCAUCACUUGUUUGGAUGAUUUAUGAUACUAUGGGUUUGCUCAAGCAAUCUUGGAUUGCAUCUAAAGGAUACAAACAAUGACCUUAAGCAUGCAUCAAGUUUAAACCAGUGACAACAAGAUUGUUACUUUGAAAACACUGGAUCCCUUGUCCUCAAUACAAUCAUGUGGUCUCAGAAAGAACGUGAUUUCAACACAAUCACGCUUCAUUUGGACAGAAGGAAACUGAAAGAAAUGAAAGAUUUGCAGAGAAAAAUGAAACUUUCACUCCUUUAGAAUUUUCAGAUGGGGAGAAAAGAAAAAUAAUUGGAAACACCUUCAAAAAAAAAAACUUUCCAGCAGUUCAUUUUGUUUCUUCCAUCCUCAGAGAAAGCAAGACUUUUUCGUUAAAAUUCUUAAAAUUUGACGUCUUCCACCAAACAAACAUCAAGACAUACUAACAAAUUGUUCCCCUCUUUUGUCUUUUUUGUGUUCUCCCAUAACACAAUUUCUUUCCCCUUUUUAUCUUCUGUCCUUAUACUCCAAAACUAGGCCUCCAUCACAUUUUCUCAGAUCCAAGUUCUUUAAUCCAAAUACAAACCUACAAUUGUCCUAAUACAAAUACCAUUCCUCCUUUCAACACUCCUCUCCCUACAAUCUCCACAUAUUCAAGAGCGGAUUUUUAGUUAAAGCAAUGGACACACUUCAAUCAGGAGGAUUCUCACCAUCCUAAUCCCAAAUUCCAGCAAACACUAGCAAUUUCACAAGAACAACUCCCUAUCCCAAUAAAAACAAGAUGUAUAAAAAACCUAAACAAAAUUUAGAUCCUCAAUUUCCCAGAAAUACCCAUUUCAACAACUAUCAAGAAUUCAACAAUAACAUCACAACAUUUGAAAUUUCAAGAACCCCGAAAGAAAAGCAGCAUACAACAAUCAAAAAAAAGCGCAGACCUCGGAUAAGGACGGGGGCUUGGCAGUUCCAACGUCGGCCAUUGAAUUCUGAGUCAGCUAACAAAAGGGCCGGUUUGGUUUGGAUGAAUGGAGACGAUCGAGCUGCCUUAGGUUUUUACUACAAGUUAGUAAAUCCACAAGGCUCUACUGGAAAUUCAGCAGUGAAGCUUAGACUGGUCGAGCCUAGUAGUUGUUAGCCGGUGAGGCCACUCACUGCAAGCCACGUUUCACUAAAUCCUGGGCCGGUUGGAGUUGGACUUCUUUGGGUUUUCACCUGAAUCCAAUAUUGAGCGAUAAGGUCUAGUCAGGACUAUUACCUAGGUUAAUGCCUGUUGACAUGGGCCUCGUUGUUAGUCAAGUUUAGUCGAGUUUUGAACUUAUCAAGUUGACGUGAACUUGUUAAUAUCCGAACUCGAGUUUGUCGAGCCAAAAAAAUGAAAUUCGAGCUCGAUUCGACUUAGAAAAAAAAAGUUCAAACUCGACUUGUUUUUGGCUCGCGAGCAGCUCGAGACGUCAACGCGAAUUUCGCUCGACAUUCUAACUCACGAGAAGCUCGAAGUUAGCUCAAUUUUAAUUGAUGUAUGGGUAUUUUUAUAAUUUCAUAUCAAUUCAAACUUUUCCAGCGGCUUGUCGAGCAAUCCAAUCUAACAAAUGAUUGCUCGAGUUCGACUCGUAUAUAUGAACGCUGAGUUUGAACUCCACGUUGACUCGAGCUCUAACUCGAGAUUGCAGCCUCGGUCGGCCUUUUGCCUUUUUUGUUUAUACUUCGGUAUUGACCUGGAAGAUAUUCACUACUAAUCACGAAUAGCAAUUAUGAGUAUCAGAUUUUGCAUUUUUUAAAUUUGGUUUUUUAUAAAAAAAAAUUAUUUCAUUAAAAUCUACAUUAAUGAUAGAAAUUAUAUCAAUCAUACAUAAAUGCAAACAAAUCUGAAGAAUAAAUACUUAAUACUACGAAUCUAGAAAUUUAAUAUAAUAUUAUACGGAAACUCCAAAAAAUCUAAAGAUAAAAUACUUGUAACUCCAAGAUUAUUUGUACAUCCUUCCCAACUGUACUACACGAUUCCUUGCAGAUCUACCAAUCAACUAAUUCAAAACCAAGCGUUAAGGUAAAAUCUGACAAGUUAGAUCUAAGAAAUAUCAGAUUCUACAAUCAAUUUGGGAAAAAAAAAAAAAAACACAGAGAUCUAAUAUCAAAAAUAGACUAACAUAGAUCUUGUUAGAGUUGUUAAGGAGAUCGUAUUUAUAUCCUUGAAGUUGGGUUUGUGCUAACCGAAUCAAUGCUAAUUUUGGGGGGUGGAGGGAAAUGAUGAUUCUUUUAGAUUGUUAGUGGCCACUGAGGUGGUGAGAUUGCAGAUGCAUCACAUUACUAUAAUUUGGAGCCAAAUGGUUGAAAUCUAUCACGGUCCAAAGCAUUGAGAUCCGGCCUUCAACCAAACCAGCCCCCCCCCCCCCCCCCCCCCACUUUGCAGGCAGGCAACAAGAGGUGAGACAUAAUCAGCUUCACAUGUAGUUAAGCAUCGAUGAUUUUCAGCUGGUUACGAUAGUUCUGACAAUUUCUUUGAAUGCCAGCAUUCACCUCAAUUUCGAAAUAAACUAUGAACAGAACCCAUAAAAUUUUCUCCCCCCUUUUGGGUUGGAUUAUCAAAUAAAAGUGAAACCCGGAAAGCCAAAAUUGAGAACGUACAGUUUAUGAUCACAUAAUUUUUUUAGAUAUCAACCGUCAAUACCAUCAUGUUUAUUGGCAAAUUCUCAAGUGUCUUUUUGCCGACACUGCAGUAGGAUGGGUUCUAUCUAUUCAUCCAUAUAAUGCAACGAAGGCUCUUCCCUUGGAGAAGCAAAUCAAAUGCCUUAUUGAUCUCCUCAAAGCUGACUUCAUGUGUUAUGAAACCAUCCAAACGUAGCUCCUGCCAAAUUAUCAAACAGAAGAAAGAGUACUGCAUCUUGUCAUUUUGCUUUGAACAUACUUAACUCUCGCCCUGUUUUCUUUGCUUCAAUGCUUUUCAUUCACCAUACGCGGGAAAAAGUUGUUCAUAUUCUCCAUUUCUUUUAUCAACGCUAACUCGUUCAAAUAACUUUAGAAAUGGUCGAAACAAAUGAGCAUGUAAAAUUUUGUACCUCCGUUGGUGCUGGUAUCAGUUUUAAAUGGUUAAUAAAAAUAAAGCCCUUUUUUUUCUUUUGGCUGAUGGGAUCCCAAAAAACUGUUUUUUUUUUUUUGGGGUGGUUGUCUCCACAUUACUUUUCAACAUUUUCUUUUUGGGAUAUUUACGUAAUUAAAAUUAACUUACUUUUUUUAGAUACUUUUGAGCCAGGUGUGGAAUAUCUUGUUUGGGUUUGAUGCCUCCAAGAGUAGCUCCCAUGAUACUUUUCCCCGCAAGGAUCUCAAGAGGGUGGAUGCUUAGCGGGCUGCCAUGAAGGUCCGCACCCAAUAUCACAGUCUUUCCACAUCCCUGAACCAUUGACAAUGCUCAAAAUCAACAUCACAUUGCAUUCCUCACUUGAAUCACAAUACAUUGCAUCCCAAUUACAACUUUCAGGAAUUUUUGUUUAGCAAAUUAAAAUGGUAGAUGAUGGUAAAACAAUUACGAUAUAUCAUGCAUAAUCAGUAGUCUUAAUUAGUAUAUAUAUUAAAAAAAAAAAAUCAACACUAUCUAAUCCGUCUUACACAUUUCUUUGGAAUUUCCUUCCGACUUUUAUCAAGCAAAUAGUGCUAGACAAUUUCCAAGAAUCCCAUUAAUAAAUUUGUUAGAUUUUCCUUUAAAAAGGAAAAAGGAUGAAUGGGCUAUCGUCUUUGAUUGAGUUGGUUGUAACUAGUAACUUAUAAGGUAUCCGUUUUGCCAACUUAGAAUUCCCCCUAAUGUUUUAGGGGGAACGAAUGGUGUAGGAGUCAUGAAAUGUAUACAAGUUCUGAAAAUUUCAUGACAUAGAAAAUGUUGUCAAAUGAGAUUUUUUUUUUUUUUGUUGCAACGACAACAAAAAUGUUAUCUAAGUGACAGUCACAAUUAAGUGGCAAGUUUUGAUGCUACCAACAGCGCAAGAGGCUGCUGGCGUUAUCAAAUGAGAUAUAUGGAGAUGGAUAAAAACAUGAAAGAAAAAGGAGGGAAAGAGAGAGAGAGAGAGACCUGCCGAGAACCAUCAAAAGCCUCCCUGAUGAGGGAAGUUGAUCCAACGCACUCGAAGCAAUAAUCAGCACCACCAUCUGUCAUCUCUCGUAUUACCUGCUCCAUUGUUUUCAAGAAAUCAAUCAUCAUAUUGCUUACCGAUGAUAAACCCUUCACAUGUACUGCUAAAAAUGGAUGCUUUAUACCUGGCUCACUGAAUCUUUCCCGCAAGAAGUAGGAUUAACAAAAUCUGUAACUCCAAACUUCUUAGCUGUCAAAUUCACACCAGUACAGAGCCAAAUGAAUUGAACACCAAAAAAGAGGAAUUAAAAAAAUUGAAUGUCAGGAUCAGAAACCAAACCAACCAAUUUCAAAUUUUUCAAGAUUCUUAUCAAUUCCAAUAAUUUUUGAAGCUCCACGUAUCCGUGCUCCCUCUGCAACCUGUUACAAUUUAAUGUUGUUGUCAUCUUCAGAUUACUGAGAUGGAUACCAAGUGGGGAAUGAAAAAGGUAGUAAUAAAAUGCAACGACAGAAGAGGAGGGGUGGAAUGGUUUGGGGGGGCCAAGAACACUUUGGACCAAACAACUCUUAUCAACUUCAGACUAUAAAUGAUCUAGAAAACAAAGGGACCAAACAGUUCUUAUCAACUUCAGACUAAUUAAGUGAGAUCUUAGAAUAGAAAUACAUGAACAAAAGAUUAAAGAGUUGAAGGCCAAGACUAAUGCUACCGCAAGUCCCACUGUUCCAAGUCCAAAAAUUGCUACCGUAGAGCCCUCCUCAAUCUGUGCAGCCUUCAUUGUAGCACCAACUCCUGCAUUAGGUCGACCAUCGAUAAAUUGCUCAAACCUUACAUUCAACUUCUCCCUUUGGGAACAAAUUCCCCGGAGAUUGUGCAAGAAUUAAUGGUGACCUAUAUAUAGGUUCAUACAUAACUAAAACUAAAGCAUGUUGAUUUCUUGGAAUUCUUGAGACUUCUCCAUCGUGAAAAGCUCGGAUCGUACGAGGAAGCCAAAAGAAAUGGAAAAUUCUGCCAACCAAAACAUUGCCUAAUUAUAGUAGCAGAAUUGAGAUAAGUUUGAUUCUAAUAGUCGAUGAUCAUGUGACUAACCCGUGGUCACGCCACAGCUGAGCAAGCAGGCUUUGUCUACCGGAACCUCAGGGCUGAUUUUCACAAGAUGCGUCACAUCCACCACAGUAUAUUCAGCAAAGCUAGAAGCAAAAAGGAAGUGAUGCAAAGGCUGUCCAUCCUUGUCCAAAAACCUGCUACUUCCAUCCCUUGGCAUCGCAUUGAGUGACGCAGCUGGGAAUUUGGUGCAAGCAUUGCCCUUAAAUUUGCAAUCCCUGCAUUCUCCACAGUUCCUCUGCACUACUGGUACUACUAAAUCCCCUGCUUUUACUUCCACCACAUUUUCCCCCACACUCUCAACAGUCCUAUGACCAAGAGCACAAGAAAAUUCGAUUUCACAGUCAAGAAGAUAUGCUAGUGGCAAGCAACAAGUUCCAGAGAUGGGAAAGAAAUGCAUAAUUAUCCGGCUGCUUCGUGACCAAAAAUUCCUGGGAAAAAUGAGAAUGGCCCCUAAGAAAUCAUAUGAAAAUAAUGCCUCAGAAAGAAAUUCAUUCAGACUAAAAAAUGGUAUUCAGAUAAGCAUGCUUUGGUGGGACUUACGGACUCUGAUCGCCAGAAGCUAAUAUCACCGUGACAAAGGGACGUGCAAAUAAUCUUGACUCGAACCUCCCCAGACUUGGGAGGGGCCACUUGAAUCUCUUCUAUCACUAGGGGCUCUCCAGCUCCUCUGCAUACCGCAGCUGUUGGAUCAUGUAUCGUGCAACAACUGAUCUAAUUAGCCAUAAUUAACAUAUAAGAACCGUGAUAAAAUAAUGAAAUCAGAACAGUUCAACGGAUAGUUUUAGAUGAACCUCUGCAUCUUAUGGGCUUUCCUGCGGUAUCUGACCGGAAUUUGGCUUCCAUGACGACUGGGUGUAUUUUUCUUUUCUUUUCCUUUUCCUUGCUUCCGUGCGUUUUUUCUUCUGUUUGAUAGGGUGUGGUAAAAUAUUUUUAUUAACAUAUAGACAAAAGGGGGCCACAUGCAUUUGAAAGCUCCAUGGUCCAACCUACUAGGCUACUACUCCCAAACUACUACUCCUCCCGUGAACGCGAGUAAGUUUUACAGUCUGCUUGACUGAAGCGCAUGUUGCAGUUGACCUUUCGAUGCUUUCUCCUUUUGUACACGUGCUACUUGUUUCUUAUUUCUCUGUUACUGUUUCUACCCUAAAUGGCAAAUGCAGUCCCCAUAGCCCUUGACAGAAGCUCAGGCCAGAGCAGUAAAUCAGUCAGCCGUCGAGUUUUGACUUAAUCGAAUCAGAUUUUAAUUUAAUUUCAUUGAGCUCAAAUUCAAUUUCAAAGUGAGCGAAUUCUUGAUAUAAAAUCCGAACUCAAGUUUGAUUUUAAAUUUGAAGCUCGUCGAAUUCAAGUUCGUGCUCGAUUUACAACGUUUAUGGUACUUGGUUAUAUAUAUGGGUAAUUGCUCCUCUUUCGGCUAUGUGUUGUCUGACUGCUCAUGGACACUAAUGUCGGCAGCAACUCUCGUAUAUUCCUCUUGCUUUCUCCCAUUUUAAUAGUUUUGUUCAUCUAUCUCCUCGUUGAUUGUGUAAAAAAAGUGAUUAGGAGGCAAUCUAUGGUUGUGUGGGCAGUGCAGCAGCAAUUCGCUAUAAUGGUUGUUUGGGGAAUCUUUUUAUAAUGACUAAUUAUUCGGAAAAAUUAUGCAUGUAAGUACUAUAGAAUAACGUCAUCAAUUAUUAGCUAGCAGGACAAUCCCCUGAAAAAUAUGAAGAAAGGUGUUCUAUUUAAUUUAUGAUGUACGUGAUCUAAGAAAAAGGUAAAGAAAAUGAGAGAGAGAAUUAGAGAGAAGCAAUUUUGAGUUGGAUAUGUGCGCCACCAGGUACCAACCAACAAGUCAGAAACGCACGCUUGUUCAUAAUUUCAAAUGUUCCGUAUGCUCACAGAGAUGGGCACGUAAUGCAGGCAUCCGGUUUUUGACCUUUUUUUUUUUUUUUAAUACGAGGGACCAUUUUGACUGAUUUUAAAUGUGAGAAAUUAAAAAAAAAAAUUUUAAAAUAUGGAGGACCAAAUUGAUGUGAUGUUAGUACUUUUAAUUUCAAUUUUGUCCUCUGAACUUCGAAAUUCAAAAUUGAAUCUAAUGUGAAGCAAAGGUAAAGAUAGGGAUAAUAUUUUUUAAAAAAAUCAAAAAUAAAUUUUACUUUAAUAAUAUGACAAACAUUUUCAACAUCAUAAAAUAAAAAGUAUGACACUUUUAAUAGGUGCGAAGAAGUAGCUCGUUACCAAAGAUGGAAAAGAGUGUUUGGAUUGUAAAUUAUUUGAGAUAAUUUUGUAAAAAAAGUACUGCAGCACUUUUUUGAUACGAUGCAUGUGAAAUAAAAAGGUGAUUGAAAAAUAUAUUGAUGACACAAGCAAAUCAGUGUGUGUGUAAAUAAGGUGUAAAUAAAGUGUAAUUUUUUACUAUCCAAACACAUAUUUCCAAGCAGUGACAACAUUUGUUAUGUUGAUUUAGUGAAGAAGACUAUUGUUUUGUUGGUUGACCUCUGAGGGAUGGACCCUUCUUGUCAUUGUUGGGGAUUAUUGAGAACAUUUGUUGAAGAUCAAGAUCCACUACUGAUUAUACACUACUGAUUGAUUAGCGGGUACUCGAAAAUAUUAAGAGCGAGUUAUGGUCAUAAAAUGACUGAUCCGAUAUUUUAAGGUCCAAUCAGUCAUAUCUUAUUAGGGACGAGUAUUCGACCCGUGCCCAUCCCUAACUGAUUCUACGUAGUCAACCUAAACUGAAAUUUGAUUCAAUUAUUACAUUGAUCUUUUCUAGACUUGGACUUGACGAAUUGGCCCUUCACCCUUGCCCUUUAGAGGAUACAACACAAGAUGGAUGGGCUUUCUCCAUCUGGGCAUUUGUUGGUGAUACUAAUAGCGGGUCCGAACUUGAUUCGUUUGCAGCUGCAUCUUUGUGUUUGCCAAAUUCAUUAAUCCCAGAUUCCCCACCCUAAAAUCAAAAUUAAAAAAAAUGAAACUAGCUUUAAUUUUUAAAGUUAACUUUCAUAUGGUUUUGAUAAAUUUAUUUGUUAUCAUUCAUUCUCCUUAUUAAUAUUCGGUAUAUUAGAUCAAUAUCCUAGGCUUAACUAAUUUAAUGCUGCCAAUAUUGCCUUUGGUCCCGACUCCCCUGCCAAAAAUAAUAUUCAUGCCAUUUGAAUUUCACCCAAUGAGUUGGAGAAAUUUCACGGUGCCUUUUGGGAAUCAAUCCUCUAUCGUUAAUAAUGCUUUAUGUUUAAAAUAAUUAAAAAGUUAUAAUUUAUGAUACAAAAAAAUUGUAAGUAGCAAAGCAUCUAAGCAUCAUCAAAUCUCCAACUUCUCUCUAUUGCUACUCUUUUCUAACUUCUUUCUACUGCUCUUUUUCUCUAAAUCCUUCCUCUUCGAGAGAGAGGCAUGAAGUCCCUCCCAUAGGUUUUGUUUUUGAUAUUUUCCUAAAAAAAGUCUCUCCUAAAUUUUUUUAGUGGGAGACCUUUGUUUAUCUUAGAGUUCCUAGUGAGAAUUUUUGUUCUUUCUAGGAGUUCCUAGUGAGAUUUUGUGUUAUUUUUCUUUAUUUUAUUGGUUAAUUUAAAUUUAUUUCAAAUCUGGUUGUCAUAUCUAAAUUUAUUUCAGAGUCUUUGUCGGCAGGUCUCAUCAUCUUUAUUGGAGCUUACAACUGUUGAUUAGCAGAUCUGACGAUUGCAACAUGCACAGAGUGGACUACAGCGAUUUAUUCUAUGAAGAGAUGAUUUUAAAAUUGAUGAUACUUUUUAGAUCUGUUCUAAUUUUUCAAUUCUUUUGUAUCUGUUAAUUUGCAGAUCUACAAUUUUAGUGCAUAUUUUAUCCGCCAUUAGGACAACGAUGUAUAUGAAUCGUUCUGAACGAUUUCCAGCAAUUUGUCAAUGAAAUAUGUUUUGUUAUCACAAAAAAAAAAAAAAAAAAUCCGCUGAGCAUCGAAACUCUAUAUACAUCUAAGCCUGAUCUCUAUAUACAUCUAAGCCUGAUUUAUGAUUAUAAACAAGGAGAACUUCUCCCUCUUCACUCUUUUUUUUUCUUUCUUUUUUAAGUGGAAGGGGAAAAUGGGGGCAUAAGGAUAGAGGAGUCUAGAAAAGAACGUUCAUUAUGCAGCAUCCAAUGGAGAAGUUACUAACAGUUAAAAGCAGUAUAUCUCUUGGCUAACAAUGUUGUGUUUGGAAUUGGAAGUUGGAAGGAUUCCCAAUUCUCAUAGUUGCAUUUAUGUCUUGAACAUUUAACACAGAACCAUGUCAAAAUUUUAGAAAAAAAAAAAAGUGCGAUUUAUUUCAUGAUUAUUAUUAAACCACCCCAAUUUUUAUGUAAUUGAAGAAACCAAAGUAAUAUGAAAAUCAGGUGGCAUGCCAAUACCAUUGCAUGACAUAAAAUGAACAAACAGAAGGGCUAAGAGCCUAGCAUUAGCUACUCGUAUAGCUCGUGGACCUCCAGCAAAAUUUGCCUAAAUCCUCUUGUAUUAGACGCUUGUAACUUUGCAAGAGAUUCUACACAAAGGUCAUCAAUAUGGGCAAUCAAAACCUAUGUCGGCCCAAGCCGAAGAUGUUGAACUAUCCAAGACUUGUAUCAUAUGAGUGUGAAAAUUCUCAAGCCGUUAAGCAGACAAUCGGAAAAGUUAAAUCAAUGAUUGAGAUUUUCAAACCAUCUCAUCUCAUCGUUUGAGUUUCAUUCAUGGUUUCCGUCUCAAGUUACCAUUUGCUAGAGCUAGUAUGUCUCAAUCAGAUUAUUAUACUCGGGUAAAAGGGCGUAUUGUUAGAGAAUUGAGCACAAUUUUUUGAUCCAACAAAGCUCUUCAAGAUAUUCAACUUUGUCAUUUGUCAACCCAACUUCCAAAAAGUCAUAUUUCAAUUUAGCCCAUAAAACUGUAAUUUUAUUUUUAAGAGUUUCUAUAGAAAAAUAUAUUAUAACGAUUUGAAAUAUAUGAUGUAACAAGAAGGUGAUUGAAAAAUAUGUUUACGGGAAACGUAAAAUUUUUUAAUUUUUUUUACAAAAAAUCGGAAUCCAAACAUCCGUUGAACAAGUCAUAAUAUCACGUCUCAUGGGAUGCCCCAAAGACAUGGAUAGCAACUUAUAGGAAAAAAAGUAACAUGAAAGUAUAUGUGUUUUGGAAGUUCAUCUGACCCAUGACUGGCUAAAUAAUUUUUCAAUGUCGGCAUCGGCGGUCUGGCACAUUCACAUAUAUAUUUUUGUUAACAUUCAUCAAAUCGACAACUGAUAAGCAAAAAGUCAAUGGUCAAAUUAGCAGCAAAUCACAUGGAUGAUUAGAGUGCGUGCAAUUAAAUCAUACUAAUUCUACAACGUCAUUGAAAUUAAUAGUUCAUGAUAGAACUGUUUCCUCCGUCUGUUCUUGUUUGUCGUGGCAAUUUCUAACCCUCCAGAUCCUAAGCAAAGCAAAGUAACUUACAAAAACAAUUACGUUCUAUUGUAUAAUCAGCAUCUAUCUCAAGGACAAUGGAAUUCCUUUUUUAAGAAAAAAUUUUUGAUGGAUUCAACUCCGAUCGUCACUGCAAGUUAAAGCAUAUACAUUGACAGCAAAAUUCAAACAUAAGAUCUUUUAUGAGAACGUGAUCCGUCAUUACCAAUUGAACCAACAUAUAUUGGUUUGAAUUUCAAAGAUUCAUAAUGUAGCCAAGCGUUAUAUCUUGUACAUGUACUUUAUUCGGUUCUCAUUUUAAAAUUCAGUUUCUUUUGGAAGGUGAUAGCGAUGCACAAAGCAAUUCUCUUUUUCUUUCUUUCUUUCUUUUGCUUUUGAAAGGUUGCUUACACUUCUCAAAAGAGCUGCAUGUUAUUUUGCAGUUUUACUCAGGAACCAUACCUUCAUUGUUUGCUGCAAUUUCCCUUUCGUUCUCCCAUCUUUCAAGGGAUAAGCACCAAUCGAGAUGAAAGAAGACAAUGACCCCCCCCCCCCCCCGCCCUCAACACACAACCAUAAUUAUUAAAGGGGGCAAUAAAACUUGAACUAUGUGAGACCAUGGAUUAAAUUUGUAGAUUUCUCAAUGUAAUAUACACGAAAAAGCUUCUUACGUAUGAAAGCUGAAGCAUCGAAACUGUGUUAAUGGACUAAUAGAUAAUGGAACCACCAGCCUUAAAAUGUCACAUCUAAGUGAUUUGUUUCUAAAAAAUUCAGACGGGUGUGCUGUGCAUCCGUCUGAUCCGAUGGUGAUUCAGUCCCCUUCGGAUUACUCUUGACCUUCUUAGGUCGAUCCCCUCCCCUUUAGUAUAGGAUAGAAUAAAUUUAUCGUCUCCGAAAAAAAAAACUUAUAGAUAAUGAUUACAUUAGUUAAAUCUUUAUCUAAAUUUGUUGGUUAUCAUAUCAGGUCAAGCUAUUGUUUGACCAGUCUUCGCAUAUAGCAACGACCGUCAUUGGAAUGGAACAAACAAAGAAAAAAUGGCACCGUCACAGGUAUUCCGGUAGUGGUAGUAGUAUCAAGUAUCAAGAAACUCACUUGAUGACCAGCAGGUCGUUGGAAAGGGGUAAAGCACACAACGUAAAUUUACCAUCAGAACAUGAUAAAACGGCUACUUCAUAGGUAAAGUAACGAAAGAAGAUUGAAAAAAGUCGAGCCGACCAAUAAUUUCUUGGUUAAUUUGGAAUCGGCAUGAUUAUUAUAUUCUUUGCCCUAUAAGCAAGCAAGCAUCUUUUUCGUCCCUCGUUGCUCACCUGUGAGACUAUAGUCCAACUGCUGAAUAAACACGAUCGCUUGCUUUAGGAGUAAUGCGCUGGUCUUCCUCCUAAUACACACAUCAGUACAGUGCAAAUCAUGUUGAGAACCUAAGCAUCAAACGUAUUCCGCACGAUCACUUGCUUUACAAUAAUAUUAUUGAUUUGGACCCUACUUACAACGGCACCAAGCUCAUGAACCCCCAAUUGAACAUAUAUUAGAUUAGAUGAAAUUCAGAUUAAGUAAGAGUGUGUUGUUUUAUACAUUGUGAGCGUAUAAUUUUUUUUUUUUUAAUAAUAGCAAGUUUAGAUUAUUGUCGCGUAACAUAAAUUCAAAUCAUGCACAUAUUACGCAUAUGCAUGAUUGUUAGUGUGAAAAAAAAAAUCAAUUCAAAAGUUAAUCAUUAAAUAAAUACAUGACCAAGUCAUCCCGUCUCAACUCAGCUCUUCAAAUGCUCGACUCAAAGGAAGUGACUGAUUUUUUUUUGGGUUUUUUUUAUAGAGAAAUUUAGUUGAAACACUUUUUUUUAAUAAAAAAUUGAGGUAUAAGUAUGUUAUGUAAGAAAAAAAAAGGUGGUUGUAAAACAUAUUUAAAAAAAAUAAGGAUCAAUUAGCACCUUUAGUACACGCCAUACAUAUAUAUAAGUAAAGUUGAAAUAAGUGACAUAUAUAUAUAUAUACGCCGUUAGCUGUUAUUAUAUAUGAAAUUAAUUCAAAAAAAUAUUAUUAUUAUUUAAAAUCCAAAAAGAGGAAGUUUUGCUACAACACUCAUGAGGAUGUAUUAGAUACAUACCAUGUAACAAAAAUAUGCGGUAUCUCAACUUUUAGUAAGGAUCUCAAUAAAAUUAUUAAGUAAGGAUCUCAAUAAAUUUGAGUUCAAAGGAGCUGAGGAUCACCACGUUAAUAGCACAUGAGAUGCAUUAGACACAUUUUUCGUGAAAAAUACGACGGAAAACAUGCGAGUGAGGUGGGCAAUUCGUUUUAUCACUUAGCCAUAUAAUGAUAAAUCGUUUGAUUUCAUAGUUCUAAUCAUGCUAUUAGGGAAAGGUUUAAUCAGACCGACAAGAAGAUUCAUUCUCAUAACUCAUCUCUCUGUAUCCCCAACCCCCCCCCCCCCCAACCUUCUUUUUUCUCCUCCUCUUGUCUUUUCCCUUCUUCACAGUUCCCGACCUUGCAUGUACUAAAAACAAAUGAAAAAUGUCAGCUGCGAUUUGCAAAAUAUGGAAAAAUACCGUUUCAGGACGGCUUUCGCAGGCAUAGACAUCAUCAUCAUCAGCAAACCUGGUGCAAUGCAUCUCAUUUCUCCAGCCCACAACAACAAAAAAAGGAUGCUACAAAGAAAACUCGAGAAAGAGAGAUCCCAAGCGUGUCUUUUCUUUUUCUUCCUUCUAAGGGGUCAGACAUCACAAAUUAUUGUCCGUUCUCUUCUUUUAAGCCACCAAAAGAUAAAGCUUAAGCACCCAACACUACACUACUGCAAUUUGGACCUUUUCAUCUUUCCUUAUUCUUGCCAUGUAUCCAUCUCGAUCGUUUGAGAUGUUCAAUGGAUGCUCAUACCAUUCCAGUUAUCGGGCUGCUUUUGGUUAUCAAUAAUGUGCUGGUAUAGAGUUGGCAGUUUUUACUAGUAUUCUCAAAUCUUGGAUUGCUUGUCGGUUUCUUGCCUGCACAUAUUGAAUAUGAAUUAGUACGCGCGAAUUAUCACCGAUUAAUAGUGAUAUCUCGUCUUAUCAUCAAAUCCAACCUUUUUCUAAUGCGAUAUAUAGCUAAUUUGCUUGACAAGACCAAUAAGUUUCCAACAACAAAUUAUGUACUAGUUGAAAGGGAAGGUGCGUGAAAAAAGAAAAUAAGACAAGGUUGAAAGCUAAACUCAUUAGAAAAUGAUGCAUACCAACCAAAGUUGGCGUCUCGUGAGAGUUCUAUUUGCUAUCUUUUUUUCUUUUUUUUUUUCUGACGAAGUGGAUGUCCGAGUCAAUUUUUACGGGGUCUGACUAAUCCCGCUCCGAUCCGGAUGAGGAGGCCCCAUCCCCCGAACACGUUAACAGCGAAACUCGAACUCUGAUUGUUAGGAAGAUCGUAAUACCCUAAAGGCUUGAUGGUGGCCAUUAGCUUAUCGCUGAUGGUUCUAUUUGCUAUCUCACAAAGAACCUUUACAACUUAUACGGGCAUAUGUCCGUUUUUACGCAUAAAACGUGCUUAUUUGGGAAUUCUAAACUUCAAUCCUUACAUAAGCGGGAUUUAGAUGCAGGUGCAUAAGCCAUUAAUGGCCCAAACCGUGGUGUUGGGUCUAAGGUUGCCUAAUUUGUGUCAUUAAAUCUAAAUUUCAAACUUAUUUUUGAAAUUUUUUCCCGAAAAUAAAUUUAAAUGUCCUUGCUCAAACAACAUGUAUUACAAAAUAAAUUUAGAUGUAAUGUAUUUAUUUAAGCUAUAUCAAUUACAACCUGAUUUGAGUUGCUAAUUUUUUUUUUUCAAUUUCUGAGAGAACUCAGACUUUUAGCAUAUAAAUCGAAAUUUCCGAACAAUCUUCAAAAGUUACCGUCCCGAACAAUCUUCAAAAGCCGGUAACUUUUGAAGACGUCCAGGGGACUUAUAAACUAACCCUCCAAACCCCCCAUAGUCGAUGUGGGAUAGAACCUUCACAGGGACCCUGCUGCUAGAAAGUAAAGACCCCCUAAGUACCCCAUAACGAAAAGUUUUGUAUUUUUGUCAAUUUUUAAGAGAACCCGUAUUUGAGUUGCUAAUUGAUAUAGUAUGAAAUUAUAGAGGCUCCAAACUCCUAGAAAAGGUACCUGUUAGGUACCUGUUAUUUGGUUGAAGAAUAUUUUUAGGUACCUGUUAUUUGCGUUCCACUCUUUGUUAUUCAUACUCUCAGUAUCAUUUUAAUCAUAAUAUUUUUAUUUAUUAGACUAUAUGAUAAAACAAAUGAUUGAAUUACAAAUAACAAAAUAUAGAUUGUAAAUAAUAUUUUUUAUUUGUAUUAUAACUGUUUUUUGUGAUUAUAUAUAUGUGAAAUAAAAAAAUGAUUAAAAUAUCAAAAAAAUAGUGAAAAAGAGAGUGCCCUGAAUUGUUUUUUUUUUUUUUCUCAAUAUGCUAGCAUGUAUCCAAACACACUAAAGUUAAUGUGAUUAUGUUAAAAUGUGCGCGAUACUUUGUCCGUUUACCUUUUUUUUAGAGCGAAUUAUUUGGAAAGUCACUAAACUUUUUGGAUGAUAGAAGAGUUUUGACUACUUAAUUUUCAAAAGUAUGUAUUUACCUACAAAACUAUUAUAAAUGUAAAUUUUUGGGCAUUUCGUCUGUUUUUGCUGUUAAAUCUAACAAAUCUAGAAGUCGCAUAAGUCAUUAGACAUAACCAAAUUGGACAAACAUAACGAAGAAAAUAGAUUGAAUGGUUCAAAAUUUACAUUUUUUAUAGUUGAGUGAGUAAAUUCUUUUAAAAGUGGAGUGGCCAUUGGAGUUUGUUUUGACAACAAGAAUUUGGAAUAAAAAUUUCAGAUUUUGUUUUGUUUGCAUCAUACACACAAUUCUCAAUCACCUCUUUAUCUCAUAUACAUCACAUCACAAAAAGUGCUACAGUAACUGGAUCAAAUAAAUCAUCCAAAUAAAUUCUUAUCCAAACAAACUCAAAACUCUCUAUUAUUCAAAAAAUUUUGUGAUUAUCAGGAUAAUUUGCGCAUAUAUAUAUAUAUAUAUAUCUCAGAUAGAACAAAACGAAAAUGGUUGAGUCCUUUUGUAGUAUUUGGCAGCAUUUUCCUUCUUAUAAUUGGUAAUUAAAUUAUUUAACGUUUUUCUUGUCUCAAGUCCCUGCUACGAGAUAUUGUCAAGGACCCCACAAUGCUGCAAGAUAAGGAAGAGAGGAUACACAUACAAUCAUACAUUUCCAUCAACAUUACUACAUACAUACAUAUAUAUAAUAUAAAUAAUAUGGCCCUCUCAUAGCCCACAACAACAUUUCUAGAGAGAGAGAGAAAGACGGCCCCUCUCCUCUCCCUCUGGUCUAUGAGUCUACAGUUACGGAGACUAGAGAGUUGCUGCUGUCCAAGGCUCUCCAUAUCUGUUCUAGUGUGUGACUGUGUUUUUUUUUAUGGAAAAAAGUUGUCAUUCCUCCUCUAGUGGCGCGGCUGGUGGCGGUGACUCUUCGAUUACCACCGCCAGUAGUGCUGCUACUACUACAACUUCCAGUAGUCUCACCACCACCAUUAGUAGCAGCAGCAACAACAACAACAGCAACAAUACAAAUAACCGAGAUGUUUAUCUGAAACAUCUCAACAAAAUCUCACAUAAAAUCUCCAAACCCAUUCGUCGGCCUCCCGUGUUUGAUCAGAAUAAUCAGGAAAUUUCAGCACCGCCACCACCACAAGUGCCGCCGCCGCCUGCUGCUCAAUCACAACAAUCCCAGCAACAGCAGCAGCAUCAGCCGCCCGUGUAUAAUAUUAACAAGAAUGACUUCCGUGACGUCGUUCAGCGUCUCACGGGCUCUCCAGCUCACGAGCGGUUUUCGACUCCUCCUCCUAUACAGCCACCGAAGCCCCCCAGCUCACGGCUGCAGCGGAUCCGCCCUCCUCCCCUCGCCCAGAUUAGCAACCGCCCUCCUCCCUUGCCUCAGAUUAAUAACCCGAUGACCUGUGGUAAUCCCACCGGAGGAGGAGGUUCAGCGUCAGCGGCGGGGUUCCUCAUCGGUCAACGGCAGCCUUUGUCUCCUCUUCCUCCGUUCCCGGCUGUGCAUGCGGCGGCGGAGUCUCCGAUCUCCGCUUACAUGCGGUUUCUCCAGAGCUCGGUCUCCUCGGCUGCUUCUCCCAAGUGGAACAACCUUCCGCCGCCGCAGAUGCCGCCGCCGCCACCGGCGCUGCAUCAGCAGCAGCAGAACAUUCCUCCGCCGCCGCAGGGUUUUCCUCAGUUCCCGGUGCUUCCACCGACUUCGCCGCUGGCUUUUGGAUGUAUCCCGUCGCCGAGGUCGCCCUACGCUUUACUGUCCCCGAGCUUGCUAUUUUCGCCGACAGGUCUAGGUUUUCCGCAGCUGCCGUUGUCUCCUUCGCUGCCGGUGCCGAGCCCGAGAUGGAAGGGUAUUUGAGGAAAAUUGACAAAAAGGGGAGUCAAAAGGUAUCAUUUUGGAGAAUUUUGUUCUUUUUGGGAGUUACAACUAUUUUGUUAUAAAGGUUAUAGGGUCAAAAAUGUAAUAUUGGCAUGUACAUGGUGGUGGGGGAGGGGGGGGGCGGCGUAUGGUCUGUAUCAAAAGCAGGAGUGCAAAGAUGCGGUAGUAGCUGGCAGUGGUGACUGGUUCAUUUAGAUUUUGUUUUGUACAUGAAUGGUGAAGGUAGUCAAAGAUUACUUCAAAAAAUUUGUCUUUCAUUUGAAUUUUAUAGGGAUUGUUCUUUACAUCUUUGAAGAUCAUUUGUUCAUAUGUUAACAUUUGUGAAAUUUGCAGGCUUUUUUGUUUGUUUUUCAUACGUUGAAUGUAGUUUUAAUUUCUGAUCAGCUCUAUAGAGAGUAUAAUAUAUGUGUUCUCUUGAGGGGAUUAAUGAGAGUAUUGCAUUUCCCUGGUAACAUAUGGAAGUCUUUGCACCAGUUGAGCUGGAAUUUCUUCAGUUUGAUGCUUGGUUGAUGAUAUCAGAUGGUUUUACAUUGAUCAGAGGCAUAAGUAUUAGAAAAAGAUGAUACGAGUUUUGGAGGAAAGGGUGGAUCUUUCUUAUGUGGGAUGAUACGAUAUUAGUACUUAUAUGUAAGUUCAGAAUUAUCAUUUAUGGGGCACAAUUGCCUGCCCUUUCACAUCAAAAUUUUGCAUCAUUUAGUAAUAGCAAUUGCAAAAUGGUAUGACCUUUUAGGCUUUUAGCCUUUGUAUAAUUGUGAGGAGCUCUAUUCCUUAAUGUUACCGGGUAAACUUACUGUUGCAGAUGAUGGUUUCACAAUUUGGAACAAUCAGCUUGUGUCAUUUCGGUUAUAAGUUCUUUUUUCUUUUUGGAUAACAAUAUUGACGCUUCUUUAGUUAGCUGCAUGUAUUGUUAGUGGAUGAGAGGUUAUUGUUAGAGAGACUGUGAUGACUUCCUGAAAUAUCCUCUCUCACACGCUUCCCUGCCUACUUGGCCAAAACGGGAAUACCCCCUUUGGAGGUUAAUUUUUUGGCUUUUGCUUGAUCUGUGGAUGGCAGACCAAGAUAAGAUGAUUUUUGUUUGAUCAGGCUACCAGGUAUGUGCUUCUUGACAACAAAUUAUAAUCCCGGUACAGGAAGAGAAAUGUUCCUCAGCCUUUUGUUACUCUUCAUGCUUUGGAGAGGGCAAAAACAAGCAGUUGAAGUGGUUGCAAACUCUUUUCUGAAUGCUUCCCACUCCAUUGUUCGUACCACCUCAGUUAUGUCUUAGCUGAGCUGACCGAGUGUUUUUAUUAUCUGCUGGUAUAUACAGCGAUUAGAUGAGCAUGUAGUGCUGUCUCCGUGGAUACAAUCUUGUGAAGUUCUGAUGAUAGUUAGCUAUCAGUGUAGAUCCUGAUGCAUUUUAAUGUUGACAUUUGGGGCUUAGUUCAAAACCCAUGUGCUACUCCUGGAGAAGUUACCAUCUGCGGCAUCUCUCCUAAUGGAGAAUGUGGUAUAAACAAAUGGAUUUUGUAUGAAUCCAGCUUAUUUUUUUGCUUUGAACACACACAGGCUGCGACCUUGGUUUGCACUUAGAAAAGGUAAGAGUUCUUUGGGAAAAGUUGCAUCGUUACUUUGUAUUUUAUUACAAGUUGAACUUCCCGUGAACCCUUUAUGAUCAAAGAUUAUGGCUUCGUGGCCUAAGGUGGUGGUUGUGUGUCAUUGACCAGCCAGCCUUAUGGAGAAGUUGCAGCUUCAGUUCUGAUCCUGCUUUUCAUUGUUAUAAAUUCGCAACUUCCACUUGCUUUCAGCCGUCAUUCUGUCUUUGGUUUCACAAUAUAUGAAGUUCUCUACCUGGCUAAUUACUUAGAAAAGUGCAUUUGCAAAAUUUCGUUCUAUUGAAGUAGAAAUUCUGUCUUCUGUUGCCCAGCUUGACAUUUGGUGGUGGUGAUGAUAUUCAUACUUCUGUAGGAGUAUGAAAUUUUCUUGCUUAGGUGAUGGUUAGUAUUGCUACCAGUCAAAGGAGUCGUCCUCAAGAGCGUCUUGUAAGAAUCAGACAUAACUUUCUUUUUCCUCAUCAUAGUGGACACAACUGCAGGUUUCGGAUGUGAGAAUUUCUCCAUUUUGAGUGCCUUUGCAACGAACAUUGGCAGCAUCCUAUGGCUGGAAUCUUGAGACAUUUCAAGGAAGAAGGAAUAUGCUUCUUUCCCCAAUGAUUAAAACGAGAAGUUUCAGAACCUGAGACUCUUUUGGUCAGGCCUUGUCCUGGUCAUUCUUUUUCUUGUUAUUCCUGUGGUUCAUGUGAUUUGUUUAUCCGUCAAAGUAGGUUAACAUUAGUCUUUUUCAGCUUCAUAAUAAGUAGAGGGAUUGGUUGGAGAAGAGUAAAAUGGAAGAAAGGAAGAGUACUAAUGCCAUUUUAAUGCGAUUUUAAUUCUUUAUAACGUAUCUUCGCCCUCAGCUGCAACCCGUCAAAAGAAAUGUUUUUUGUUUUCUCGAAAAUAUAGAAUAACCUACAAAGAAUUUAUAUUUUGUUGUAUAACCCACAAUUGCCCCAAAGGUGUUGAAAAUUUUAAUAAUUUGAUUGAUUGUAUACACACACACUAUCCACCUCACGUACUGUGCAUCCCAGAACUGCAUCUUGCAGUCUUUCACAUAAUGUUAAAUUAGUAUGUAAUUUUGCACCAUUAGACUAUUUUAUGCUACUGCUAAUAAUAAAUCAAAAGUUCCGCCACCACUGAUCUUGAACUUGUCUUUUCUCCAUUGUGGAUUGGCCUUCGCAUCUUUGAACGGUACAAUUCCUAAAGCAGUUUUCGUUUCUCUGUUACCCCUUCCAAACUUCGUUAUGUUGUAUAAACAGGGUUGUCGUUAGUUUCUUCCCAUUUUCUUCUUUACUUGGACUUGUCUCCUCACCGCCGAACAAGAUAGAGGCAUCGGGCGACGAAGGAGAGUCAUUUCCCCUUCCUUUACGUUUUCCAUUGUGCCAUUGUGGAGAGGUAAUCUUGAAUUUUUUACUACGGAGCAUCUUUUUCUAGAUAUUUAAUGAGCGGAAAUUUUGGAGAAUUCUUCUUCUUUUUUUUGGCAACGAUAAUAUUUAUAUAAUAUAAUCUAUUUUAUUUUACGGCCAGGAAAGGGCUUUAAUCUAUCCUAUUUUAUAAGAAAUGAGAGCUUAGGGAGGUUUUCAAUUUAUUCUAUUCUACGAAAAGGAAGAGGUUAAAGAGACUGUAUGACAGGUUAAUAGGUUUAUGAAUCCACUAAAGGAACGUUCUAAUAUUUCAUUUGAACUUUUUUCACUUCAGUUCAAAUCCAAAACUUACCAUCCCAAGAAGAACUUAAUCCCUUUUUUAUAGUAGUGACUGAGCCAAAACUCAGUGGUUUUUGGAGAAUUCAUCACUUCCUCUCCUCUUCGAUAUGGGAACCUAAGAACAUUUUCAUUUCACCCUCUGCAAGAGAAACGAAAGAUCCAUUAUUGCCAAUGGUUGAGGUAUGGAGAAUUCUUCUUUUUACAUCACUUUCGUUUCCUUCCAUCGAUUGAGAAAGCACUCAAUCACUUUCAUUGUAGUGUAAUGAAUAUCUCCUCGUGCUCCCUCCCACUGUCGGACGAAUCAAAGACUAAUUGUGGACUUUCAAAGAACCAACUCAUGACGCCAAUUUUUCUAGCUAACAGUGGAUACAUAUUCUAAUCAUUUCAGCAUCAAUCAAGACAUAUCCCUUGAAUUUUGGGUUCCAAACAGGGGAUGAAAACAGUUUUGGUUAUUGGCCCCUUCCGAUAAUUCCAGGAUUUUAGGCCCUUAUUCAAUCUUGGUCAUUCACAACUUAAUUAAGUACAAAGAGAUGUAAAACAUAUAAAAAAGCCUUUUCCUUUCCACCUUUCCAUGACAUAGCUAAAAGCCAAUAAGAUCCGGAGAACGCUAAACUGAAGACGAAAUGGAUACAUUAAAGGAGGUUCAAUAACACAAUUGCGAACACCUAAAAUAAAGCCAGACUGGUAAAAGGGGUGGGGAAAAAGAAAGGCACGACGAUCAGAAUAGGUAACUUCUCCGAAUAAAAACCACCAGACGAGAAGUGAAACCCCAAUCAGAGAGCAAACAUCCUCACUGUUGUUCAUUAUCAGCCUUGGGAGCUUCCUUGAUCUCAUCAGCUCCAUCAUCCUGCACAAAAAAAGGCGAUUGUUAAAAAUUCAAAAUCCAUACAAGUGCCAUGGCAAGACGAGCAAGGAGGUCCAUAUUACAAAAAGAGGAGAAUUUGUGUGCAAAGAAAAUGCAGUACCUGCAUGUCAGAUGUCCACAGGGUAAGGUUAUCCCGCAAGAGUUGCAUAAUCAGGGUGCUGUCCUUGUAUGACUCCUCCCCUAGGGUAUCCAACUCAGCAAUUGCUUCAUCAAAGGCCUAUAGAGGGAAAUAUAAAAAGAAAAUAUGAGCCAGAUUCUUGCCUAGCCAAAGCCAAUAAGGGAAAUUUUUGCAUCCAGAUUUUUCACCUGCUUUGCUAGAUUACAAGCACGAUCUGGAGAGUUCAAAAUCUCAUAGUAGAAGACGGAGAAGUUUAGAGCCAGUCCAAGCCGGAUAGGAUGAGUCGGGGCAAGUUCUGUGUUUGCAAUAUCCUGCGGUUCAGAACAACAAUUAGAAUGAAAGUGUGACAAAAAGAUACAAAUUCAGUAACCUACGCCAUUUUUGAGCCAAAUCUCUCGAAGAAGUUGUAUGCUCAAUCAUCAUUAUUCAAGGACUACAAUUCUCUCAGUCAUACGUAAAAUACUGAUGAACUAUCAAAAUGGUUAGAACAAUCAAAUCUAUGCCCCAUUACAUUUUUUCAGUGAAACAACAGUUGAAUCAAUGCUUCAAUGCAUGCUUAGAGCUGGCAUUUCCUUAUCAAUUUGAUGUAUAGGUCUGUAUGUCGAGUUUGUUCUGCUGUUUUACUAGUCUAUCUUUUGUAAUGUUUUAAGGGGUAUGCCCCUUCCCUCGUGUAAGCUUCUGUUGAGCAUCAAUGAAAGAACACAGCCAACCCAACCCAAAAAAACAAAAGGGAAUCAAACAUGUAACCAUUCAUGUUAUGACAAGAAGGGAUAUUAGAUGUUAGCUUCCAAUUCUUGCCAAUUUCCUAUAAACCUUUCUAUAGCAUAUGGUUAUACAAGACGCAGGAAACUAUUUUAUAGCAGUGGAAUAAGCUCUGCUUCUUAACAAAACCAAUGCAGACUCUCUUUUCUUUUCUUUGAUGGAGGGAAAAAUAGCGUAAUGCGUACAACCUUAUACAUGGAUAAAAAGAUGGAACUUCGUUCCAUCACAUCAAACCGCAUUGAAUGAUGCCAGAAAGCUCAAACAACCAUUUUCUCCUAUUUUAACAUUGGAAAUGCAAAAAAAAAAAAACUCUUUUUUAACCCAAAACCACAUUUCCUUACCCAGAUUUGGAAAUCUAUGAACCAAAAAAAAAAAGGUAACAAUUGCAUCCAAAUUGAACCAAUCCAGUUCGCAUCUAAAUCACGAAGAAUGCAACAAAUAAAAACUUUUGAACAACAACCAAAAACCCAUAAAUGUCAAAGCAAACCUGAGCAGCCUUAUAGGCAGUAAGGGUGCUUUCAGCAGCCUCUUUCCUUUCAGCACCAGUCUUGAACUCAGCAAGAUACCUAUGAUAAUCCCCCUUCAUCUUCAAAUAGAAAACCUUAGAAUCUCCAGCAGAUGCUGAUGGGAUCAGCUUAGAAUCAAGAAGCUUCAAGAUCCCAUCACAGAUUGAUGACAACUCGGCCUCAAUCUUGGAUCUGUACUCCUUGAUAGUGUUCACAUGAUCCUCAUUCCCUCUUGAUUCUUCCUUCUGCUCAAUUGAUGAAAUUAUCCUCCAUGAAGCCCUACGGGCCCCAAUAACGUUCUUGUAGGCAACUGAGAGCAGGUUCCUUUCCUCCACCGUUAGCUCCUCGUUUUCUCCCAAGGAUUUGGAGACCUUUUCCAUGAAUUCCACCAUUUCCUCGUACCGCUCGGCUUGCUCGGCCAGUUUUGCCAUGUAUACGUUCUCCUCACGCGCCGUCAGUGCUGCCAUGGUACCUUUUUUUUUUUUUCCCUCCUUCUCCCUUUUGUGGGUUUGUGGAAACGGGGAGAUUUGAGAUUUGGGUUCCUUUCUUCAGUUUCAGAUGGGAUGGAGGAUCGAGGACUGGGGGUCUGGUUUCUGUAUUUGACUGGAGGAACGAGAGGAGGGGAGUGGUUCAAGGAAGUUCUUUUAUUCCUCUUUUUCGGUUUUUCCUCAUGUACAACUCAGGAUGCAGCAGGUACAGGUAUGGAAGCGUGGGUAAGGUUUGGUUUGGUCAAAGGGCACAAGAGUUUAGGUAUGGUAGGUGGGCCUUUUGAUGUCCCAUUGUUUUACAGAUCUGAAAAAAAAUUACACAACUCUUUAAGGAAAUUAUUUUUGUUUUAUUUUUUCAAAUUUUGAUGGUAGGAUUGAACUGAAUUUAACCUUGGAAAAUGUUGUCCCGGAGUCCAACUUCAACUUGACAUGCAAUUGGUUCAAUUAUUGUUAGGGAAUUGCCAUAUCAAGAUUUGCAGGAUGCAAUUCAUUGCUCAUAUUUGUCUAAUUUGACCUCAGACGAAUCAAAUUGAUUGCUCGAACAAUUUUUAAUAAGUGAUAGAGUUUACUUCUUUUUUUUUUGAUAAUAUAAUGAGUUUGUUUGGAUAAAGCUUUAUUUGUUAAAAAAAAUUUAGUUACAUUACGCAAACACAUUUUUCAGUUACUUCAAACGAUUUGUUUGAAUCUAUUAGUUUUUCAAAAUUUAAUUUUUAAAUACUAUAAAAAUUUUUUAAAAAUAUUCUAAAUUUUUUUUAAUGUUUAAAAAAUAUUUUAAAAUAUAUUUUAUAAAUUCUACUAUUCUUAAAUAUCUCAAAAUAUAUUCUAAAAAUAUCUCAAAAUAUACUCUAAAAACUCUGCUAUCGUAAAAUUUUUUUAAAAUAUUUCUAAAAAUAGCUAAUCCAAAUGGUUAUUUUUUCAACUAUAUAUAUAUUUUUUAUUUAGGUCUAUUUGUGCUGUUUUGAACUUUUAUGCCUGUUUGUGUUAAAAGCAUUAAGCCUCAGAUUCGUCGGAUUGAGAAAAUAUUCUACGGUGAAAAUUGCAAUGAAAACGAUAACUGUAAAAGCGUGAGGCCUGGGUCAGAUUUGUGGGGCAGGAUUGGAUUGAGAGGCGGUCAAAGGUGAUCAGUCGUGGAGGUGGCCCGCUCGAUUCAUCAUUCUAGUUUUUCUUUGACAGUUGGGAAUCUAGCUGGACAGUGGACUAAAAGGCUGUCUUGUGGGUCCGUGGGUGGCGACAACACUAGCAGGCCAAAUUUGGUAUAAACUGGAUGAGGAACAUGAUUUUAGGUGCAAAGGCCCACAAUCUGGAAGUGUCCUGCUCCGUCAAUGCCAAUGGAUCUAUCUGUACACCCAUUUUGCCCAAUGAUAACUGGGCCACUUUGAGAACAAGGUUCUACAGGGCCGAACAUGUGUUCUAAAUUCCCAAGCCCAAGCAACUCAGCCUCAACUUCAUUUUUUUUAGGGGUAUACAAUUAAGGGUUAACCACAUUUUAUCCCCUUAAAGAAUACUCCAUUUUUCAGUUUACCCCCUAACCUUUAAUUUUGCUCAUUUAACCCCGUUAGGACAAAAUUGCCCUUACAUUAUUUUGACUUUCAUGUACCCUAUUUUCCUUUCUUUUAUUUCCUUUUCUGUUUCUUCUUUAUUUAAUUCUUCCUCUUUCCCACAAAAAUUUUCACCUUAAUGAUUGAAAUUAAAAAAGAGGAAUUGCAGAGAUCUAUCUUCUCCUUAAAUGAUUAAAAAAAUUUUCAAAUCACUUUCCUAAAAUACAAUUUUUUAGCCUUUCAAUUCUUUUAAUUUUGGGUUUUCCUCUUUCCUUUCUAGUUUCUCAUUUUAUUCUCAAGAAAAUAUCAUAAAAUGAAAUUGUUUUCCUUUCUUUUAUUUCUUUUUCUCUUUAUUCUCUCUUUCAUCCUUCCCAAUAGAAAUUCCAUCUCAACAAAAAUUUUUGUUUUGAAUUUGUAAUUGCAUAUUUUUGGGUGAAUGUUUAAAAGGCAUAAAAAACUAAUUUUUAUUUUUUGUAUGAUGCCACGUGUCACAAAUUUCAAUUGAUGAUUAUUAAUCAGGUCACAAUUUCAUUUUAAAAUAUUUUCUUGAGAAUAAAAUGAGAAACUAGAAAGGAAAGAGGAAAAUUCAAAAUUAAAAGAAUUGAAAGGCUAAAAAAUUGUAUUUUAGGAAAGUGGUUUGAAUAUUUUUUUUAAAUCAGUUAAGGAGAAGAUAGAUCUCUGUAAUUCCUCUUUUUUAAUUUCAAUCAUUAAGGUGAAAAAUUUUGUGGGAAAGAGGAAGAAUUAAAUAAAGAAGAAACAGAAAAAGAAAUAAAAGAAAGGAAAAAAAGGUAAAUGAAAAGUCAAAAUAAUGCAAGGAUAAUUUUAUUCUAAAGGGAGUUAAGUGAACAAAAUUAAAGGUUAAGGGGUAAACUGAAAAAUGAGGUAUUCUUUAAUGGGAUAAAAUGUGAUUAACCCUACAAUUAAUUCCUCCCAAUCUUUCAAAUUAUUUCCCUUUUAUUUUUUUAAAUCAUUUAAUUAUCAAGAUAUGGAGUUUUACGUUAAUGAUGUUCUCUUCUAGCAAUUGGAGUUAAAUGAUGCAAGGCACUGCCAACUGGUCCCUUUGAAAUAAGCCCCCCACCCAAAAUCACUACAAUCACUUUCCUUAGUGGGCAAAAAAGUUUACUUGUCCCCCAUACUUCUAUUAGAAAAUGCUCUUUUUUAAUAAAAAAAUAUCCGAGACACUUUUUUUUUUUUUUUGGCAAAAAUCAACUAAUAAGAUGGCAUAGAUAAAGAAACACAUUUUUUUUUCAACUAUAUUUUUCGAACUUUUUUAAUUUUUGAACAAUAUUCCAAGAAAUCAGGACAAGUAAAAUUUAAACAAUCAAGAAUUUUCCUUGUUACAACUGUACAAGAAGAAUUUUGUUCCCAAAUGUGCUUGGGCAUUUUAAGGUAAGAAUGCAACUCGAGGAGAGGUAUAUAUUCAUGAAGAGUCAUGUCGUCAUCCAUGAAACCUGAUAAAUUGGCACUUGAAAAUACACGUGUCCAUGUCCAAAAAAGGAAAAGCAAAGAAAAUCAAGGACCACACAAAAAUGACGGCCCAAUGGAGAGAGUCAGCAAAUUGGUAAGUCAACGAUCGGGGAGAAUUCCACCGUUUCGAAAAAAAAAAAGAAAAAGAAAAGAUUGAGGAGAAUUCACAUGGAAACCUUCAUGUGAACAAUCAUUCCCUGUCCUUGAGUAGUAAGCUGUCGAAUACUUCAGCAUAUCUAUAUCCCUCCUUGGCCCCUCUGCCCAUUUAUCCUUAGUUCCUUACCGCUCUUUAGUCUUUCCCUGACACUUUUUUUUACCACUCGAUUUUGACAGUCUUCCUCUAAUGCUACUCAUCAUCUUCCACGUACCCUCGUUUUUUAACCGCAGUCAAGAACCUCGCCAACACGCUUGCUUGUCGUUUCUUGUGUACUUCAGUUUAACUGGAGUACAAAGCAACUCAAGAGUCUUGUCCGACUAAUGAAAAGAUAUUCUCAAAAAUUUCAUCACCUCAAAUCCUGAAACCUGCCCGCUUUUUGUUAGUGAAGUCAGGAGGUUGAUAGGGGUACUAUUGCAUUGAGAGAAAAGUAAAAGUGGGUUCUUGGGAUUUUGUGGAAUUAUGGAAAAGUAUGAGAUUGUUAAGGACAUUGGAUCGGGUAACUUUGGUGUAGCCAAGCUUGUGAGAGAGAGAUGGACAAAAGAGCUCUUUGCUGUUAAGUUUAUUGAAAGAGGCCAAAAGGUUUGUGCUUUUGGUGAAUUCUGCUGGUUCUUUUUUCACUUGGGAUUUUUCUUGGUUUGGUUCGGUUCGGUUCGACAAAAAAAAUGAGCCUUCGAUCUUCUGACUUUGGUGGCAGAUUGAUGAACAUGUGCAGCGGGAGAUUAUGAACCAUAGAUCAUUGAAGCAUCCCAAUAUAAUCCGCUUCAAAGAGGUUCUUUUUUUUUUUUUUUCUCCUUUGUUUGUCGGCAAUAUUUUCUAGUUCUGUUAGUUUGCAAAGGAAUCUUUAAUCAAGUUUCUUUAAAUGGUCACUUCAUUGGUUGUACCAUGUUUGUAGUUAGAGGUAGUGGUAGAAUGAAUUCAGAGUGAUUUUUUGACGACUUGAAGGAUGGCAAUCAAAUUUAAGUGGAGCUUUUGUUCUUUACUCCUGGACUCUUUAGCGUGCAAUGAAUGGCAAAAUCUGGCCAUUCAGUUGUGAACUUGAGCUCAUUACCUAGUGAAUAAGCAGUUCUCCGGUAAAUCAUCUGAGAUUUGAAUAGUCAGCCUUUAUGGUAGUCCCUCAUGAUAUACAAUUUGCAACAGAUCAACAAUAUUUGAUAAGUUAAAAGAUCAUAAAUGAAAGCUGUUAAAUGAGUCCCGAAGUUCAUUAAGCAGUCUGAUCAAUGGGAUUGCCAACUAUUAUAUUGAAAUUAUAUCAGUUUUUUGUUUGUUUCGAUGUCACUAGUAGCUUUCAUUUCCAAUUCAUUUCCCUGAUUUAUGUCCUUCGAUUUGAUUGUGAAAUUGGUCCUACAAUCUUGCAGGUCCUGCUGACUCCUACCCAUCUAGCUAUAGUAAUGGAGUAUGCGGCAGGAGGAGAACUCUUUGCGAGGAUAUGCAAUGCUGGAAGGUUCAAUGAAGAUGAGGUAACCACACAUAUUGGUGGAAAUAUCUAUAUAUAUUUUGUGCACAACUAUCAGAGGAGUUUGUGUUGGCCUUCUAAUUAGUAAUUACUAAUGGUUGUGCAUUUGGGUGUUUUCGUUUGUAUGAAGUAGUGAAAAUGGGAGACAAAAUGUCGCCUUGAACUUUAGCAUGGCAACCGGAGUAGGCAUAUCUGCUGAAGUUGGUUCAGUAUUAGCAUCCCUUCAUGAGGGGUCCUCACAAAUUUUAGAUGUGCUAUGUUGGAUUAUGUAGUGGUGUUAGUGCACAGACUGGUUGGAGUGGUAAUGUGGUACUAGAAUCUUUAAUUUGUUCUUAUGCACAGAUCUUGUGAAUAAAACUAGCUCACUGAAUUUUUCACUGUUUCCAUCCUUGCGAAUUUGCUGGAAAAUUAAAAGAUGUUACCGAUUAUCAUAAAUUUUGUGUUUUGUGGCCCUUCCCUGUAGGUUGUCCUUAAACAACAAAUUAAUAUACAGUGAGUAGUGAGUGCCAGUCUCUCUCAGACUUUCUUUCAAGAUUGUUUUCCUGACAACUUGUGCGUUAAAGCAGUUGAAGCUCUACUACAGAGGGUUCUCCAAUUACAUGUGAUAUAGAAAUAUGUUGCAUGAUUUCUCAGUUCUGGGUGUAACCUUUAUGAAUUUGACAUUGGAGGAUAGAAGAGGGAUGGAAAUCAUAUAAUCUGCAGCUUUGUUGCUGAAGCCUGCUUGACCUCCAGGCAUUCUUGUGAUGUUCCAUGCUUGAUUGUUAAAGAUAGCCUGCCUGGUUUUAGGGAAUUUGAGUUUCACCACAACUUCCUGCAUUAUGUCUUUUAGGAGAUGAGAUGCGUAUCUAGAACAUUUUGUUGUUUUUCUUGCCACAGUCAAGGUUUAUUGCCAAUAAGUUGCAUGUAACAGAGUGUCUGUCAUGGUCUUAUAGGCACAGUUAGGUUCCCACUUGGUAACCACUCCUUUUAAUUUAAACUACCUUUCCUAGUUUGGCAAAUCUACUUAUUGUUUUCUUGGUGUCUCCUAUUGCUUUUGUAAAUGCCCUUAUUCAUGGUAGACAGGGAACUUGCUCUUCAGAGCCCUAAUUUAGUGAUACUUGGUUCAUAGGAUCUUUAUGACAUGGACUAAAAUAGUGGAUCAAAGUUGAUCUUAUUUUGGCAUGGGCUGAAGCAUAAUUUGUCAAGCUGUUUGACCAGCUUUACAAAUGUGGUGAAUCUAAAGUUUGCAUCAGUCUCCAAGAUUCUUUUCUGAAAGUGUCUCUGUGUUUCCAUAUGAUCAAUUUCUGUUAUUUUUGUGGUCAUUUCAUGAAAAUUGCAAAAAAUGCUCUUUGUGAGAAGUGAAACUCUAAAGCAAAUCUGUAUGUGAUAGAGUAGCCAUCACUUGCCUUAAAAAAAUAAAUAAAUAAACAAAUAACAAAAAGUAGUCACCACCAGUAUUUGGUCUAGUAGUGUUCCUUAUCCAACAGUAAAGCCAAAAAGUUUAUCAAAAUUGUUUGCGGUCUGAAGCCUAUCUAUCAUAGCAUUACUAUGACAAAGCAAUUAUGCCCAAACACUCUGGCUACGACUAUCAGAAUUUUUAGCUUCCAUCUGAGACAACUAGUGGAGUGGAAGUUAUAAAUUUUACUGGAAAAGUUUUAACUUCUACAUUGUGAAUAUCCUUUUCUGAUGCAUCUUAAUGUCUAUUGGUACCAAGUGCCCAGUUUCAUUGUUGCACAUCCUCUAACUGAAUCACUGAUUCUUUGGUUGUUUCUUUCAUUUAUUCCAGGCAAGGUUUUUCUUUCAACAACUGAUAUCAGGUGUUAGCUACUGUCAUUCAAUGGUAUCAGCUACUGUCGUUUCUUGUUUGUUGUACUGCAACCAGAACUGUGUGACUCUCUAAUAUGAGAAAAUCUUGUGCUUGUCUUGAAGCAAAUAUGUCAUAGAGAUCUUAAGCUGGAAAAUACACUACUUGAUGGAAGUAUAGCCCCACGGGUGAAGAUAUGUGACUUUGGGUACUCCAAGGUAAGUAAGAAUCUAUGGAAUUGAUAAGUUUUUUUCCAAUGGAAAGUAUUGAUGUAUUUUUGUUUCUAUUUCAUUGGCUUGUUUGCAGUCAGCAGUGUUUCAUUCUCAGCCAAAGUCAACUGUAGGAACACCAGCUUACAUUGCACCUGAGGUGCUCUCUAAAAAAGAAUAUGAUGGGAAGGUGCUAUGCUAAAUCACUUUUUGUCUCCAUUACCAUUGCAUUAUUUUGUUGUUUUGCUUUAUGCUCUCCUCCUUCAGCUAAUUAAGGGGCACUGUAGCUCGCAGAUGUUUGGUCAUGUGGAGUCACGUUAUAUGUGAUGCUUGUUGGAGCUUAUCCUUUUGAAGAUCCCACUGAUCCAAAAAAUUUUAGGAAGACUAUAAUGGUGAGUAACUGCAUUAAAUCAGCCCGUCCCCGAGAGAAAAUUAAUCCAGUUAUGUAUACAAUUGCACAUUAGUUUCAGUAUUCUGAUGGAUUCGUGAUUUGCGAGCAGAGGAUACUCACUGUCCAUUACUCAAUUCCUGACUAUGUCCGUAUUUCUGUUGAGUGUCGACAUCUUUUAUCUCGGAUUUUUGUGGCCAACCCUGAAAAGGUAACAUACCUUCCUUUUAUCGAAAUAACGACUCAUUGAUGAUAAAUGCUUUAAAAUUUUGAUAACCAACUGAACAACAAGGCAUCUAAGGAUGCUGACAACGUUAAGUAUUGGGUCUCCUGUCCACUAAUUAUUGUCCUGUGGUGCAAAAUUGAGUCACGAGACAGGGUCCAUGAUUGGACAUAGAUAUUUCUAUCUGAUAAUAGUUUCCUUUGAAAAGUUAUGUCAGGAAUAACUGACAACUAUAGAUGGAUCAUGCAAUUAAAGUUUCUUCUAGAGGAUAUUCUUGGAUUUAUUUUCCUUUCCAGUGUCUUGGUUCAGUAUGAUUCUGGAUAGUCUAUAACAAAACUCUUAAAUGUAAAUUCAUGCAUCUGUUGCAGAGAAUAAACAUUGCAGAAAUAAAGAGACACCCUUGGUUCUUGCAAAACUUGCCUGUAGAAGUAAUGGAAGCUGGAAGCUUGCAAAGCAAUGAUAUAAAUACCCCAGCGCAAAGCAUUGAAGAAGUGUUGGCAAUAACACAAGAGGCAAGAAAACUUGAGGUAGCCAAGGCUGGCCUGCUAUCUCUUGGCAGCAUGGACCUUGAUGACUUGGAUGAUGCUGACCUUGAAGAAGACACAGAAGCAAGCGGUGACUUUGUCUGCUCCAUCUGAGGCUGUGUGAAAAAGCAUGUACUGUAAUUAGAUGUAAAAUCCUCCUGUUGUCACUGACAUGUGUUUGUUGUGGGCAUUGUAUCGAAAGAAAUGCAACGAGACUGCUCCGCUAUGCUUUACUGACGCUGUGAUCGUUUUAUCUGUGCUUUAAAGGCUGGAACCCGAUUGAACAAAGUGUUAUAAGCUUUCCGUUGGAACAUUAGGGUCAUUAUUAACUGGUCACGAAAUCAAGUUGUUGCAGUUGACUAGUUUACAGGACCCAAUAUCCUUCUCUUGAUAUCCAUUACAAGUAUCAACCAUCUUAGAUUGAAUUUUUUUUUUUUCUUUUCUCAUAACCAUCUUAGUCAGACAAGAGCAUGAGUAAUGCUUUCAUUUCCCUCAACUCUUGUCCGAAAAAUAUCAUCCAGUAAACGGGACUUGCUUGAAUAUUUGUCACACAUACAGUAUUCCUCCUAUAGUAGUAUAAUAGUUUUUCCCGAAAUCGGAGGACUAAGAUAAGCUUCAAAAGGAAAGUGCAUUAAUCUCAAAAUUUUCUAUUGGGAUGGAGUAGGGUUUGGCAGCUGGAGCUGCUUAGCCCUUAAAAAUGUAGUGCUGGAUGAAUAGAAGCUUUUUGUGGACAAUAGCAGAGAUGGCGUGAAACCAUACAAGCAAAAUCAAGCAGGGCUUGAGAGAACUUUUGGAAAAGAUUGCAACACUUUGUUACAUAAUCUGUGGAACCCGAUUAGCAUUUUGCUUGGUUUUCAGUUGCCAUGAAAUGAUGAGUUUACAUGCAGAACCUGUCGUUGUACCUGUUUGGUGGAGAUCCGCUUUACUUCUCUUGACCUUUUCUAACCGAAGUUAGAGUUACGGUUUUUACAAACCUAAACCCCAGAAGAACCUCCAAAAGCCGGCAACUUUUGAAGGCCUCCCAAGAGACUUAUAUCUACCCAACCCAACCCCCCCAAGAACCGAUGUGGAUCCGCUUUACCCAUUGUUGCAUGUCUUGUUUCAUCUCUGACAUACCUGCCUUUGAGUGAUUUUCUGGCGUAGCUCUCACUAAUGAAAGUAUAUUGUACGACAUACCAAUUCAUAUAACCUUUUCGACCUGUAAUGAAUCCGUGGGAAACAUCAACAUCCAAAUGCACUGCUGAAGGCGUUGGUAACUCCGGAAACCACGCAUUAACUUCUCACUCAGAAAGGAUGCUAUAUAUAUAUAUAUAUAUAUAUAUAUAUAUAUAGACACACACACACACACAGUCAAUAAGUCCAGAUUGCUCCUUUAAGACUGGGAGAACAUGAAAGCGUGGAUGAUACACACACACAUAUACAUACAUACACACACACAUAUAUAUAUAUAUAUUGGGAGGGAGGGGUUAAAUAACACUACUCUUGCCGGAAAGAGUCGGAUGGUUGUCAAAUACAAUCAUUCAAAUGAUUUAUGAUCAGUAUUUAGCCAACAUUGUAAAUUUUCGAAACGUAUAAUUUAAAACAAGCCAUUAAAGUAAUUAACGUGCGCAGAUACACUAUUUUAAAAUAACAUGAUGAUUUUUACAAAGUUAUACAAAUAGUAUGUGAAGAAUUAUAAUUUGUUUUAAAAAAAAUAUUAUACUCUAAAUGAAUGGCUGUGUUGGGCAACCGUUUGUGCCCCUCUAGCCUUUAAAUACGAAGAGAAGCAAACUUGUAUUAGUUUGCAUUAUGGCAGCCUUAGUAGAAUUGGCAGCUGAUGAAUUCAAUUAAAAUCGUAUAGUUAAUGCGGCCAAUCAAAUCAAGGCUGCUCCUUGAUUCAAGUGUCAGACCAAAUUUCCAGCUCAAUAAACAACAGCUGAAGUUCUGCGUCUGCCCAAAAGAAAAUCACAGAAGUUGUAAACUUGGACUGAUAGGCAAUUCAGCCUUAAGUUUACCUAGAUACUAGAAGAUUCUCAUAAAAUAUGUCACAUAUAUGGCUUUCUAUACAAGUACUUCAAGAAGAUUAAACUACAAGCUGAAAGACCUAACAAGUUACCAAAUUUUGAAGCUCAGGAUAAAGGUUAUUUGUUCCAACAAAAAUUUCCUUGAAUUCUGACAUGCAAUUUUUGCAGCUAAAGGCUUGAAGCCUCGAGCUUUCUGUGAUUUGAAGAUGGGUGAUGAGGGAGGACUGAUGACUAAAACUGAACUUAAUGCUGGGAGGGAAGAAAAAGGGAUAAAGGCGUCACCCACUAAAGAACCACGCCUUCAGUUUUCUUGAACUUAAUAUUCUAGUCCUUGAUAAAUAUUGAGUUCUCUGCUUCCUGAAAUCAUCAUUGUCAAAUUAUGCAAUGUGGAUGGAAAUUUCAUAGGAAUAGUUUCAAGACUAACUGGGUUUUGGAUUUUUAUUAAUUUCAACAUCACUUUUUCGUCCUAAACCUGGUUUGCCAAUCAUGUGAUGGUCUGCUCCAUUAACCCAAAAACUAUUUGUGUGUAAAACCUAAGUAUAUUCCAUAGCAGAUAAGGCUUGCUGAAGAUUUGAUGUGAUAGUCUGCUCCAGUAUCCCAAAAACUGAUAGUUAAACUUGGUGGAAACCAAUAACAUGUAUGUGAGAAAAUCAUCAUGUUCCACCAAGAACAAAAUCAUGCACCAAAGACCAUUCAGAUAGCACUAUGUUGUGUGCGCCCAUUUUGUUGUAAGAGCUUUUACCGUGAGAUUCUUGACAAACCAAUGAUAUAAUCCUUAGCCUCUUGAUGAACUAAGCUAUUGGAUAUUUGGGUCGCACUACUUCUGAGUUCUAAAGAUAGAAACAAUGGAUCACAGAUGCAGAAUAAUUCCAUCUCUUUACAUUCAUUACAUGAUUCAAUUCUAUUUGACUUUAGAGUUGAGUGGUUUCUGAGCAAACGAUACGAAGGUGCUGCAUAUGACAAACAAAGUUUUCACAUGUAAUUUGCUAAUCACGCCUAAUUUGCAUGUGGUGCACUCUGAAAGUGCAGGUCUUCAAUAUAUAGUUUUUAAGAAUUUCUCUGGUGUAUUCUUACGAAUCUGCGGCAAAAGAAAGUAUUACUCCCAGAUUGAGUUGACAUAUUGUUAGCUUUUGCAUUGACGGUUGGCUCCAUCGAGGCAUCGACCUAAAAUUUGAUAUAGUCUUUCGUGAAGACAACAUGUCAAGAAUCCUUCUUCGAGGGGGAGGGAAGCCGGAUGAGAUGCUUAUGCAGAGUUGCAGACAAGACACGAAAAUGGUACUUGCAUAUCUUAAGAGAGCAUUCGUUGGAGAUUCUUGAGAAUAAAAGAUAGUGCCUAUUGGCUAAACCAAGCCAUUUGGUUGUACCACAAUCAAAUAAAAAAAAUUUCCACUUCAGUUUGUCGUAAUGGUGGCACUAAUACUUCUAAAUUCUAAAGAUAGGUACAAAAUUUAAGUGGCAGAACCUUUGCAUCUAUCCACAGUGGCUGCCGAUUCUAGUCUGAGAAACUUGAGUUUCUUCUGUUUUUUAAUUAUCUUUUGAGCCAAAAAAGUUUCAUGAAGAAUUCAAACUUCCUCAUGCUCUGGCUCAUGUUUAACGUCUGGCUGCUUCUGGUUUACUUUGUAUUCUCCAUAAAAGUAGGAAGCAAAACCCCAAAGGCACAUCGCCAAGGCCAUCCCUUUUUCGCCACUGAAGCUUUCCGCUAAGCAAAAAACAGCAAAUAUCUGUUGGACUGGUACUAAAAGAGAAGUCACAAUUCCCCCAAAGAGGGAUGAAGAGCUGAAAAUAACCCCAGUGCUCCCUAUCAUCAUACACUGCAAUGCAAUCCCUGCCAUUACCAGUAUCGUGUAGUACUUCAUUGGUCCAAGUUCAAAUUCUGCAGCCUCUUGUGGAAUUGCCUGCAUCAUCAGUAGAAUGAGAUCAGUUUAAGGUGCUGAAAGAGUUAAUUAUAGCCAGUCAAAUCACUCAAAAAAGAAACGUAUUAAUUUUUCUGUCUGAGUAGUACCUGAAAAUCCUUGUUGAUUAUCAUGGGGAUGGUACAGAACAGGGUGGCAAACAUCGACACAAGGAACUGAACUUGCAAGAAGAGGUCGAACGUGACGGUAACUUCAGCCUUCUUCUGUGCGUAUUCGAAUGCUGGCAUUAUAAAUCCAUGAAGAGCAGCAGCACCAAGGGUCAUGAAAAAUCCCAGCGUGUAAUUGGCAUUUGAUUCGCCACUGGGACGAUCCCCGUUCAUGUGUAGUCCCAAAAUAGCAGAUCCAAAGGUCAUUAGAACCACCGCAUUGAUUGAAUAGUGAGUGAAUUUGUGCUUAACUACAAAGUAGGCGAAAAUUGCCGUGAAGGCAAGUUGGCUCGAGCCCAGAAGGGAAGAAACCGAAACGGGGAGGUAAGACAUGCCAAAGGUGUACAAGUAGCUAUCUAUGCCCAGAAGAAAUCCCAAGAAGGCACUAGCGGCGACAAGUCUAGGAGGGACCAAAAACUUUGGAGACGAAGCCUUGGAUCGAUUUUUAAAAUAUGAGAUGCUAAUUGGGAGGAUAAGCAAGGGAAAACCAGCAGUGAGUAACCAAGCAGUGAGCCAUUUUCUUUUCCCUCCAUGCAAGAAGUAAAUUCUCACAAGCAAUGGACCGCCAACUUGGCCAAUGGCCAAUAAGAUGCAGUUGAAGAGAACCAUCAGAGUCUUCAUGGAUAUGCAAAUCUUGAACUUAUUAAGCAUAUUGUGCUUUCCACCUUGAAUUGCAGCCUCCAUGUCCAUGCUUCUGAUAAAUUUGUCUGGCCACAGCCCAGUAGUGAGCGAGUAGCAAACUAGCAGUAUCUAUAAAUUAAAGGCAAGAGUUCUCUGUUUGUUGUUUCUUUGUAGCACGAUAUUAUCAAAGUGUCACCAAAAAAAAAGAAGAGGAUAAAGCAAGAUUCGGGAGUUUAGGCUAACUUUAUACAAAGAAGGAACUGGCAAAUAAUAUUGCAGAUUGAUGCUCGAAGCACCUAAGCAAAAGAAUUGUUGAAUAUUGAAUAAUGCAAGUCCUACUAGGCUGGCUUGUAUGACUGAUCUCGUGGUCUGCAAUCUGACUCAAAACCGCUGCAUUUGGUCUCUAUUUAUAGGAUGCUGGCUGCUUUCGACAUGAAAGCCGCGCAUAUUUAUAGUCAUGACGUUGUCGUUUGACUUGAUUGCAUGGCACGACACUCGUAUCCGAAAACGUUAAACAUGAGUCGCUCAUAAAUAAGUAGCACAUUCUUUUUAGCCUCUUUCCGGGUGGUUCCUCUUCUCAAAAUAAAAUGCCUUUCGUUGGUACGCUAUUUUCUGAUAAGAUUGCAAGAAACCAACCAUAGGGAAAAUAAUACAUAAAUACGUUGCAUUGGGCAAACUAACUUACAGAUGAUGGAAACAGCAACUCAAUGGUACUACAAAUUAAUGAGCAAGAAGAAACUGACAUAUAUAUAGUGAGAUUUGAAUCUCAGUUUCACCACAAAACAAAUAUUUUAAAUUUGUUUUCUGGUCUGUGUUAAACGUUUUAACUAUCCUAGAGUAUUAUUAGAAAUAAUUACUGUAGUAUUUUUUAUGAUGCGAUGUAUGUGAGAUAAAAAUAUGAGUUCGAAAAUAUAUUUAUGAUACAAGCAAAAUAUUAUUUUAAAAAAAAUGAGAUAUCCAAACACACCCAUAUUAUAUAGUGACUUAGCCAUAUGUUUGACACUUUUUUAUUAAACGAGUAAGUUUUUUUUUUUAUACAUUAUUAGGGUAUAAUUUUUUUUAUAUUAACAGAUUUAGAUUAUAUCACAUAAUAGAAAUUUAAAUUUGAAAUUUAAAUCAUACAUAUUUGGCAUACAUCUAUAGUUGUUAGUGUAAAAAAAUACUACACUUUCCCUGCCAAUGCAUAAAAGGUUAAUUCUUAUUAAAUAGAUCUGGGUUUUAAACUCUGCUAAAUUAGUGUUGUACCUUAGUGUCAAGUUAUAAUCUGUGAUUCGGACCAAAAAGCGAGUUUAUUUUAUCUUCAAGGAUAGGGAUGGCAACGGGGCGGGGUUGGGACGGGGGACCCCUCCCCAUCCCUCGCUCCGCUGCCUACAAACUCUCCCCGCCCCCGCCCCAUCCCCCGUCCCCCGCUCCCCCCGCCCCACUUCCCCCACGGGUGUCCCCGCGGGACUAAUAAAAAUUUGUUAUAUAAUUUUAUUAUGGUUAAAUUUUAGCAAAUAAUCAAAUACUAAAAUAUCAACAUAUCAUCAAAAUAUUAUUCAUUGUAAUUUUACAAUUUAAACUUAUAAAAACAAUCAAACAAAAAUUAUUUGAAUACAAUCCAACAUGAUGAAAUAAAUAUAACUAAAGUAGUCAAGUUUUCACUUUUGACACAAAUACAAUCACUAUUUCAUUAUUGUGCUUGUGCUUUUUUUAAGAAAAAAAUGUUAUUGUAUUAAGUGUAAUUAGGAAUUUAGUAUAAAUAUAAAUUUAGUAUAACCAAUUAAUAAUUUGUAUUAGUACACAUAUAUAAUUAUUAGUAUAAUUAAUAAUAUCAAUUAUAUUAUAUAUACUAAUAGAUAUUAUAUAAUACAUAUAACUAAUAAUAUCAUUAUCAUAAGUUUGUAACUAAUUAAAUUAUAUAUUAUAUAUAUAAUUAUAUACAUAUAUACUUUAUAUAUUUAUUUUUUUAAAGCGAGUGGCGGAGUAGGGGUACACUCCCCCGCCCCCGCCCCGUUUCUAAAUGGGGGGAAAAAAUUUCCCCCGCCCCAACCCCCUCGCCAUUAGCCCCUAGCGGGGCGGGUGCCGCCGCAUUGCCAUCCCUAUUCAUGGAUACUUCCUAAAUUGAACGUUGUACUUGUAUUAAUUACGUAUGUACCGCGUGGACUAAAUUUGGAAUGUAAUGGAGUCAAACAACUGCACACCACACACUAAACUGCACAUGUUCAUCAUUUUUUUAAAUGAGGAACAAGGCAGACCAAUUUCAAUUCUUUGGAAGAGCAAAUUUGACCAUGUUAGCCUAAAAAACCAAAAAAAAAAAAAAUGACCAUGUUCUAUUAUCAUUCUAGAACUUGAUGGAAGCUGCUUCUUUGUCCCAAUUUAUUUAUCAUGUUUCUGGAAUUCAACUUUUUUAAAAUAGUGAUUCGGUUGUAAUAUUUGUAUUUAUCUUUUCAAAUUUACCUUUACAAAUUCAAAAUUUAAAUUUAAAUAACAAUAUACCUGUGAUUAAAUGAAGGGAUUAUAUUGAAAAAAGAGAUUAAAAAAAGUUCUGACUUUCCUAAAUAUUUUGAGACAUUCCAAAAUAAAAAAUACGACCCUUUUGAUGAGAUUUUUUUGGCUAGCCACAUGAAUGGUCCCAGCCUCAAUUUCCUUCCCCUUUCUUGCCAGGAGGCAGGAUGUUAUGCCGCCUAGAGAUGUAAUCGAGCCGAGUCGAGCUCGAGUAGUGCUAUACUCGAGCUCGACUCGACUCAUAUAUCCGAGCUCGAGCUCGAUCGAGUCAAAAAAAUUGAUACUCGAAACUCGACUCGAUGUACUCGCGAGUAACUCGAAACUCGACUCGAUAAGGCUCGAUAACGAAGGGUAUUUUGUAAAUUCCAUAUAACUUAUACCUAUAAUGGUCAUUUUAUAAUUAUAAUACAUAUAUAUUAUUUAAAUUAUAAAUAUAUUAUUUAAAUAACCCCGGCUCGACGAGUAGCUCGACGAGUCUCGAGCCGAGGAUUUUUGACUCGAAACUCGACUCGAUUUUCAUUCGAGCUACUCGAAACUCGGCUCGAACUCGGUCAACCCGAGUUCGAGCCAAGUCGUUGACCAAGCUACUCGCGAGUAGCUUGGCUCGCGUACACCCCUAAUGCCGCCAAGAUAGUCGGCCCCAAGUUGCACUUGGGCAAGUAGACUUAACAACCCAAGUUUUAUGUAAAUUCGUUGGAUUUAAGUACUCUGUCCACACUUUAAAAAAAAAAAAAAGAUAUGGAUUUCUUGAAUGAAAACAGUUUCAAAUAGACCUAUCAAGGACAAAAAAAAAAAAAGACAUGUCAAGAAGUCGAGAGGAUAGAUGUGCAAAUCUGCAAUUCCACCACAAGCUUGCUUGAUAGGGAAGUGCAUCCGCACCCAACCAAAUAAAAAGGUCAAGUGUUUUGGUACUAGGAAAAAAAAAAAUUUCUGCAACGCUCCAUCCCUGCGCAUUGUUGUUUCAAUGACAUAAACAUCAAUAAUUUACAUUUUUCCAACAAUUUAAUUUUACUAUGAAAAUUGGGUCAAGGCAUAGUUAAUGAGCAUUUGGCAUCAUUGUAUGGAAACAUCUAAACUAUUGAAUAUAAAGUCUAAAUUUUUUUUUUAAUAAAAAGCCCUUCAAUAUUGUUUAAAGAUGUAAAACUCCAUCCAAAGAAUAGCGAACAAGUCCCAAAAACAAUAGAGACAAUUCUAAACAACAAAAGUAAGUACUUUACAAAUGAAGGACAAUUAAACAACCCAUAUACGUAUGACAUUCAUAAAUUCACCACUAUUUAAAAAUUUACUCCACUAUUAGUGGCUAGUACUAACAAUUUAAGACUGAUUAAAGAGUACGAAAAACUGAGCGAAUUAAAGAGAGAAAGUAUGAAAAAAAAAGAAAGGUUACCGGUGGAUACUUUCUUUUUUUUUUUGGGGUCAACUCAAGGAGUAUCCCAAUUUUACCAGACUAAUCUUCCUGGACCAGACUAAUCUUCCUGGACCUGGAGUACCCCGCCCCCCAAAAGCACUCAGGCGAUAUGUGAAGCCAUAGUCAAACCGCGCCCCACAAGGAAUACCCCCGAGGAUUCACCGGCUGAGCUGACCCCGAGGGGCUAGUUACCGGUGGAUACAUGGAGGGGUAAUUUCAAAGAUGUUUGGUCUGCACAACUCACGGAUGCACGUUACAAAUUUUUUAUGGCCAUUUUAUGAAUUUCGACAACAAUUUUGGUAGAAUUUGUUUUAUCUGUUUCGUGAGAAGUUAGACACGAUGCCUUUUUGCUAGUAUGUGCUACGUAUGUAUGUAUGAGAGAGUCUUUCCCUUUUUCUUUUUUUUUUUUCCUUUUUUGAAACAUAAUAAUAAUGCAUGAGAAAGUCUUUCAAGAUGAGGGAUUCAGUAGUACUUUCCAUGCUAGCUGACUGGCUCAAUUAUUUUACUUUCCCAUAGAAAGGAAAAAGCAAACAACAAUUAUGCCUUCUUUUGGUUAAAGAGUACCUUGACCUGCUUGAUAUCAAAAGUUAGGGAAUUGGACGCGUCACAAAACCGGCGAAAUCAAAGAUGAGGCCCUUUUGCCUUUUAGCCCUAGUGUUUUAUGAAUCUUCAGUUUACAUGUAUACGAUUUGAAUUGAUAUAUCCAUCAUCCCUUCGACUUUUAUAGACAAGCAUGGACCAGUUUUUUUUUUUUUUUUUUUUUGUGGUAGAAAGUGAAAUUCAUAAAUGAAUAAAGUAGCUGCCCAAGAAGCAGACAGAGCAUCUCCUAAUUAUUACGGUCCAAAAUAACGGUACGCGGAAGGCAAAUCCUCUGUUAUCCUCAUCAAACCAAAAAGCAAAAGAUUAUAGCUUUCAUUAUUAAAGUUAAAGCGAAUUUCGAUCCUAGAAGUCAAGUGGUGGACAUAAAAGCUCCUGUAUGUAUGGGCCUUGCAAAAAGCAAUAAUAUUAACUCUACCGAUACCCAAAAUAUUGGCAACAUAAACAUCACUUAUAGGACUCUGUAUAUAGAGCUGAAUGGGCCUUUGCGUGCCGCCCUAAAACUGGUACUCUAUUUGUCCUCUACAGCAUCACCAACAAGAGGUAACAGUCACUGCACUUUUCUCUUCUGAGUCACUAAACAACGUUGCUUUGUGAGACAAAUUUUAAAGCAGCUAUAUUCACAGUACCUUACGUAAAGUCAUGUUACAGAUAAUGGAAAGUUUGUUGAAGAAUUGUCUCUUUGUACUGAAUAAGGCAGGCCAGUGAAUUAUUGAUGGCAUAAGAGGCCCUUAUCUUGACAAGAGGACCUUCAAAUCUUUCCGGGACAUAAAUCUCCUAUGGUGCUACACCGAUCAAACCCAAAUUAUUGUCGUUGAAAACACUAAUUCUCAUCCACGGUCCAUGCUUAACUGCGGUCCAGCGCAUUAAACAUGGAUAGGCUAGAAAGCUGUGAAAGAUAAAAGCAUCCACUAGCAAGGAGAUCAAGAAACUAAAGCUCAAAGAAGGCAUCCUGAUAUACGACUUGUGUUUUCUUCUAUUAAUACAAUAAUCAAUGUUCACAACAGUUGCAAAGAAAGUAAUGUUCUACUGCCGACAGAUACUAUCAUGGCUGGCGUUAAUAAUCAGGAAAGAAUUGAUCAAAUGAACAGGAUACGUGAAAUAAGCAGAAGUCUGUCAAUGGCUUACUUUGAAGUUAGAGAAGUGCCGCUAAAGAGUUUAUACAGGUUCUCCAAACCUGAGGAUCAAAGAAGCAUUAAUCAUCAAAGCCCGUGUAAUUAUUCAAAUCUCCCCACACUUUCUCCUCAACUUCCUCCCAAGAUUUUGCCUGCCUGAGUUCUUUCCAUAAACUGAAAAUAGCACCUACAACAUUCUCAUCAUGCAGAAUGCAGAGACACCUGUUUACAAGUCAAAAACAUCCAAUUAUGCCUCAAGAGUAGUGAUCAAAAACAAUUGUGUUGUUUUUCUUUUUUUCAGACAUUAAAGCAAUCAUGGAGAAAUUAAUUGUAUUAACAAUAGGCUGAAUAAGAAGGAUCCACAAGAUUCUGAAAAUGAAAAUUCUUACCUACGACCAAAAUGAAAAAGAAAAUAAGUUGCAUAUCCAAUGAAGCAAAAUUUUUUAAAAAAAAAAAAAAAAAAAACAAAAGAUGGUGAAAAAAAAACUGUUUAGAAAGAAAACUGUGGAAAAAAAAAAAGCAUGUGAGCAGAUAUUAACUCACAUUGUCAAAUAUGAUGCUCGCCCAAACCUACUAUUCUCUGCUGAUUUUCUCCCAACUAUUGGAAGUUUAUAGCUUUCAAGGAAUUGCUUCAAGAGACGGGAAUCUCCUCUAAAGACAUCUACAUGUACUGGUAUCAGAUCACAAAUUGGAUGUCCUACAAAGAAAACAGAGUUAGUUUGAAUACUUAUAAUGCACAGACUUACAGUCUGCAAUCUUUCCGCUAAAAAGCUAAGCUUGCAAUGACCAAUUUUCUUAUUUCAUUGUCAUCUUGUACAAGAACUCAUUGCUUGUUGCUUAGACCAAUGAUUAAAUACAUUUCUGCAGAAGGCGGCUUGAAUCCUUUUUACAAAGUUCAUAUAUUUGCAAUAGGCGCUUCUAUUACUUGAAUUUAGAUAUCUUAAGUGACCCACAUCUUAUAUUAUAAUGAUAAACAUGAAAGCCUAGGAGCCAAGGAAGCAAUACACGAAAUAUUACUCAAUGUGACAAUAUGUCUACACAAUAGAAAAAAAAAAAAAACAAGAAAAAGAAAGCAGAGCAUAAUUUGGCGGUUGAAAUUGAGGAAGAGUCGCAGACACCCAAAUAAGAGCACAAUGCCCCCUACACGUUACUGAAUGAGAAGAUAAUGAUUGGAAGUUCGUUAAAGUGGACUUCAUAAAAUUUUCUUUGACCAAACCCAAGUGAUUGUAUACCAUCCCUCCCCCUCCUUAUCUGGGAGGGGGAGGGAUGGUAAACCUUAAAGGAAAAUCGGGCUGCAACCUCUGCGUUCUAUUAAAUCACCUAGAAAAUAGUUGGUAGAGUUUUUGCAACAUUCUUUUACUUCAACAGCAAGAUUGUGAGAAAUGUUUAGAGAGAGAGAGAGAGAGGGAGAUGCUAACGGAGGGAAAGGGGAAACUAUGCCAAGUACUUCAAAAACACGUACAUGUACUCACCUAAAGAAAGAUCACUGAAAUCAAUAAUGUGGCAAGGACGCCAAGAAUUGCUCUUGGUACUGCCAUUAUAGUCGUUCGCACAUCCAUUAUUUACUGGACUAGGAUCAUGAGUACUUUCUCCCAAGCAAGAGGUCAAGUUACAUGGUUUCAUUUGGAUAUUGUCAUCCAUGACAUCCGCGUGUAUCCAGGUGUAAGGUUUAGCAACACUCUUGUCAUCCUAGGAAAGCAAAAGUACAAAACAACCAAAGUGAUUAAUAACUAAAUUAAAAAGAGGAACACAACAACAAGAGAGAAGAAGAUGAAUGACAGAAUGAAAAUAUGCAUCAUCUCUCAGAGGAAAUAGAAGGAUAUAAUUGAUCAACCUCAAACAUAUUGAAAAACUUUUCAAAAUCUUCCGGAAUGUAUUCACCAACUUUGUCAAUGAGUGUUACAGGAAUUGGGUCACCCCUGCAUAUCGAAUAAAAAUGAGUUUACUCAUGAAACAUUACAUAGAAUUAUGUAAAUGCAAUGUAUGGGGUCAAACUAUCAAGAAAUAAGUAAAAAGUACAAGCGUGCCUUUGUCUAUCGGUGAAGACAACAAUAAGAAACUGCAAAGAGCAAAAGCAUGCAACCAAAAAAAGUUUUAUUGGAAUUAAACCAUGCAUGGAGAUGAAAGCAACUCCUUUCUCAAUCAUUUAAGAAAUUUUCUCUCUCCAGAGAUGCAAGUAUGAGCUUAGCAGAUAUCUAUCCAGAAGAUCUUUUCUAGUCUCUAUCUUCUUAUAUUAUGAUAAUCGUGAAAGAUACCCAAAAGAAGAAAAAGAACCCCAAAAGAUGUAGACUCUGAAAGUGAUUACAAGUACAAAAUAUGCCAAGCCAUACAUCAAAGUCCUUGGAUGAUGGAAUCCUCAAUUAACACUUCCAAAAGAAUAAGUGUAACAAGGCCAUUCAUCUUUGUAUUGAUUCUGUGGUCACUGAAUUACCUGAAUCUAAGGACAAUAAAAGGCAUCAUUCAACUACGAGACCAUUUGGUAAUGGCACUUAUUGCACAUGUUAAAGACCUGACUUUUAAAUCAGAAAAAGCUCAUUGCAUGAAAAUACAUAAAGCAACAUGCAUAUGCAUUAUAACUUAUAAGCAGAUGAUGAUCAACUUAUGGCCACCCAAAUAAAUGAUACUUCGAUUAGUAAUACUUAGAAAGCCUGUUAAUGAAUAAGAUGGUGUACCACUUAGUCAAACGGCUAGAUAUAUCCUCUUUCUUCUUGUUUAAAGUCUUUAUAUAUGUACUAAGUUCUGGAGAAAAGCUAGUUUUUUCUGCAGUAUCAUCCAGAAAGCCAUUGCCCAGAGGAAGCUCUGUUCUCUGUUCACUAACUAGCAAAUUUGAAACAUUAAAAGAUGGAUAAGGUAGAGUAUGAAGGUUGCGCAGCUGUUCCCCCAGAAAGGUAGCCAAGUUUAGCAUGUCAUUCCAUGAGAGGCUCUCUCUUCUGCAAGGAAAAGCCAAAAUGAUUCAGAACUAGAAACCAGACAUUUCCAUGACCGAUACACCAAGCCACCCUCUGACUAACAUUAAUUUUAACUGGAUAAACAAUGUUAAUUACUCACAGGUCGGCAAAUAUCUUCCCUCUGCAUCUUUUUAACACUAUAUAGGGCCACACAGUUGAGCAUCCUUCAGGAUUUCCUGAUUCAAGCAAUGACAGCCUGACUUUGUGAUAUUCAAAUUGCUUUUUGUUCCAGAUUCCAAAAGGAUAAUCAACUUCAUUAUGGUUUUCAGGAACCAUAUUAAAGUUUUCAUUCAACUCAGCAGGGACCCCUUUGCCAUCCCAAGGGAUAACUUGGCACGACCCAUCUUUGAGAAAAAGAAUCCCGCUAGCCAGAACAACAGGAAUGUGAUCCUUCAAGGGAGAGUUAACUUGAUCUAGUAGAUUAUAAAACUGAAGCUGUUGAAAGCAAGAGAGAGAGUAAGAACGUAACCCCCCCAAAAAAAAAAGACAAAGUUUCUUGGCAAACAAAAUCAAGGACACUAACAUAAUACCUCGGUGCCUAAAGCAUAAAGAGAAGCUUCAAGCCCUCGUUCAACAAGUAUUUUUAUCACAUUUUCAGCAACCAGAUAAACCUAUAAAAAAAUAAUAAUGAGUUCCAUAUAAUUGAUGAAGUCAUCGCAUUUUCAAAUGAACGGAGUCAAUCACUUUUAAGGAUAAAAAAUAUGGAUUCAUGUUUUUACACACCUCUUUAACUCGAAUAUUUGAAGAAGCUAUAAUAUACUGAUCUACUUCUUUUCACGUGUCUGUGUGCUUACACAUGCUUAAUUAAUAGCCAAUACCAAAUACUUCAAGUUGGAUUUCAGAAAAGGAAAAGAUAAUAACCUCAAUUUCUGUGGACAAAAGUUAUUUCUUUGCAAUCAAAUUGGGUACCCUUAAGUUUUAAAAUUUCCAAACCUUCCCAAUAAACCAAUCUAGGUGGUUUAAAGAUAACAAGGUCCUGUCAAUGUAAUGCGCAGAAUCAAAGCACAUAAAGAGAUAAUCUGUUGUAAGGAUAACAUGAAAAGAGUCAUACAUGAUAAUGAAACCUUCAGUUAUUAACUGUACAUUCCUUUGAUCAAAAGAAAUAAAAUAUUAAUGAAAACAGCCUUUCGAAUUAGAUCAUAGCAAACUUUCUUUUACUUACAGGAUUGCUACCCGUCCCAACAGGAAGCUUCUCUUCAUCUGUAGGUAAAGGAAAGUCAUUAAAGGCACAUAUUUCCCUCAAGCGAUCAUGCCAUCUGCCAGCAUUUAAUGCAAGACAGGCUCCCUAGACAAUUUAAAAGAGAAGAAGGUUAUUUAGCUCUCACAAUACAAAUAAAAAUUCAGAACACUUGAUCUGACCAUCUAUCCAACCCAUGUCAUGUACAAAUUUUGAAAUUUAUAGAGUCAGGCACUCAGAUAAAUAAUCAAACGUCAAUUUAAUGGCCUGGAAACAAAGUUAUUGUAAGCAGGUCACUUUAGUAGGACUAUCAAUGGUACUUUGGGCUAUCUUUUAUGAUGGUAGCUUUCAAUUUUCGGGCUAGGUCAGAUAUCUUGUAUACUUGAGCCACAAUGAACUCAAAAAGCAUCUCCAGAAAAUGUUCAUUUAAGCAGUAUAAGUUAUUGAGUUUGCUUCAUGCAAUCAAACAAACAAAAUUGCUCAGUCCCUAGACCUCUUCUAAUCAUGAAGAAGUUAACAACAAACCAAUACCUUCCAUAUCAGGCCUCUAAGUUCUGGUCUCUUGACCCAAAGCUUCUGCAGCCAUCCUCUCAUGUUCCGUUGUCCAAUGACGUUGCUUGAGCUCCAUUCGGAGUUAUAGUGGUCCCUCUCUUGAUCCAAAAACCUCGAUAAGAAUUUAAUGUCAUAAACAAAUUCCACAUUUUCUAGGUUAUCACUCUCUGGUGGCUGGUGCGUUUUCAUUCUCUUUUCUUUCCUUAUGAAGUCUGAGCACCUCACAUGAUUUUCCUCACAUGAAGAGUCAUUUUUAACAUCCACUAAACUGCCUUCAUCAAGAGCAAGAAUUCCAGCACGACAGAGACCUUUAUGUCUGUAACCAGGAGCCAUAUCUAGACAUACAAACUCAAAGUUUUUGGAAUUCACAAAAUUCUGCGUGACAGCAACACUGGCUUCCAAGUUAAGCACACAAUGCCACCAUCCACUUGGGACAAAUAUUGUCUCACCAGGAAGCUGAGUACACUCAAUUGGCUUGUCUUCAUCAGAUAGAAGAGGAUAAAAAUCCAACCACCACUGAAUAAAGUGAAAAAGAAAAUGAAAAAUGGUCAUUUGAAACAGCAUGGAAAAAGUAAACAAUUUAGGGAAAGAAAGGGAAAAACACAGGCUUAGUUCAUGAAGAUUUUUAUGUUUCUGCCUCAAUUACCUGUAAGGAUGAUGGAGUAUCUAUGUUCACAUCACCAUCAUCUUCGUUUACAUGUACUGUCACUCCUAGAGGUACUUUUCCUGGAGGAUACAAGGCCCACCUAUUAAAAAAAUGUAAGACAUAAGCUUCUAAGAGCAAAACAAUAUUAAUAUAACGUGGCAGUAGUAACACAACCAGGACCAAAGUAACUGCAUAUCUUGGGGAGGAGACAGUUAUGCAACACCACAAAGAAUAAGCUGCUUUGUGGCUGAGAAAAACAUCUUCCAGAACUUUCCAUUUAAAAUCUGGGCCAAAUUUUGAUGGACUAGGAGUUUAUCUAUUUUUCCAGAAAAGAGAAAAGAAGAAAAAAUAAAAGAUUUAAACGUCUUCAACCAUAGGAAUCUUGAGCUAGCUAGAGCCCAAUUUGGUUAGGAACUUCAACCUUACCUAGCAUGCAUCUUGACUUUGAAUGAGAGAGACAGAUAAACCAACCCAAAGUAUUCCAAAAGACAUUUGUAUGUAAAUAGCAUAGCGCCGCUGCUCCUAAGUACAUCAGUGUUAACUUGAUUGAUUUUCUUAAUCUUGUUUCUACAUUUUGGGAACUAUGGGUCCACAAGCGGCAUUGCUCACAGAGAUCAUCUUUGUGAAGAUUUUAAGCAUAAACCUCAAGCUACUAGGAGCUUGAUUGAGGUAAGAGAAAGGACAUGAUACUGCUCUUCAUCACAUUGAGGAAAUAAAAACUCCUGAAUCUUCAAGCUUUGACUCUUUAGUCCACUGACCAUCCAAUUUCCCCCUGCCUUCUUUGUUUUGGCAUGGAAACGACUAAACUUUCCAAACUAGUAAUUAAUCCAAGUGCAGGCUAUUAUAUCAUUAAACAAAGAUGAGCCAGAAAGGGCCAUUCGUGAUGAAAGAAAUGUGUCUCAUCUUAUUGACUUCUUUCCUGACAUAGUAAUAUAGGGCGGUCAGUCUUGAAUUACCUUUUACGUCCGCAUAGGAGAGUAUUCCAAGCACUGGUAAGAGCUGGAUCAACAUGCCAUGAGGCACCAGACCGCUCCGGCCCAAUAAUGAGCCAUCUAAAGGGUGGUCGUUCAUCUCUACCUAAUACAUCAAAGAAGUCUUCUUGGAACAGGUGCGGGACACUAUAGUCCUUCAGCAACUUAGGUGCAACUUCUCCAAACUGCACGAACAGUAAUCAGAGGUGACCAACAAAACCAAAAAGAAUCUGCAAUAAAACACAUAUAUUGUAGGAACCUUGUCAUCAAAAACGUAGAGAGGGUCCUCAUCAUGCUGAAUCUGCGUGUAUGACACAUAAUCCUUGAAGGUCAUCAUAACCUUCCGAGAACUCCUCUGAGAUAAUCGAAAUGCUAGGUCUCCAUAGUUCUGUAGUAGCUGUUCAAACGUCCAAGAAUUUCUUGCUGGCCAAGUAUCAGCCAAACCACUAAUUAGCACCUGUGACAAAAGUAUAAGAUAGCAAGAGUGAACAGGUAACGAAGCCAAAAUCUGGUCCCUUUUCUUCCUCUUUUAGCCCCAGUGUUGGAAGUUUGUCAACUUGAUUCCCACAAACAGGGAGACAAACAUAAAAUACUCAUUAUUCAUUUCUAGAUACGUAUGGUGAAAUAUCAACAAGUAAUUCCUCAUAAAACUUUUACAAAUAACUCCAUUCAGUGAACCAUUUUGAAAAGUCAAAUCCUUCGUGCAUUAAUGUCUCUACCCAACUAUUUUCUGUCCCCCACAAGACCAAGAUUCACUCUACAGAAUCAUAAAGGCCUUACCACUGAAACAUAAAGACCAAUUGUAGUUCAGGUAGAUGCUCAAAGUAAGAGAAUCAUCACUCAGAAACAGAGCUAACUAUUUAAAAACCAAGGGAACAAAAUACUAACUGACCAAGUGAUGACUUACUGGUUUUUGCCCAUCAUAAUCAUCAUAGAACUCUUGUAAAGAAAGGUCCUUUUUUCUAUCCACAUUUCCAUUGUCGAAAGAGAAUCCAUCCAAUGUGGUGUAGCACCGAUAUAACCUCCGAUAAAGAAACAGAGAGUAAAACCCUAGAGGAUAGGAAGAAACAUCAUGAGCAAAUGCAGAACCAUAUCACUAAUCAAAGAACAAACAUCUAUCAGGAUCAUUACCAUUGAAAUGCAGCUGCUUUGCUGGGGUUUUUUCAUAUUCAGUCAAAAGAUCCAAUCUGCCGAAAAAUAAGAGAACACAUGGAAAUUGUCAGAUUCGUGCAACAACAGAAACAAGGUGAAACAAAAUAUACAAGUUCAACGGGAAUAAACUCUGAAAUCAUACUGAUGAAGAGUGGUUCUCUUCCAGGAGCCUUUAUACUCAAGCUGACGAUUCACAUUUUUAAGGCAAAGAGUCGUCCAUAAUGGCUCCUCAUUGCAAAAAAUAUACAUCACACUGCACAUGAAAAAUAAUAAUAAUUCAGGCAAGUGCGAUUAAAAAAAAAAAAUGCAAGCCAACUGCACAGCAAAGAGCCAGCUGACCUUGGAUUCAGAAAAGAGCAAUAAAAACUGAACAUGAGCAUAACAAGAUAUAAUCUCCUUAUUUUUCGUGCAUUUCCCUAUUCAAUCUAUAGUGUUUACAAAUACGAGUUUUUUUUUUUUUUUUUAAAUUCAGCUGAACAUCGAGGGAAAAUAGUCAAUUUUGAAUAGGCGGGCAGCAAAACCAAACCGUUUGAGAUGCAUAAUCAACAUUUAACUGCUGCAUAUUAGCACUUUCAUUUUGUCUAAAAUGUUUAAACCAAUCUUCCUCAGGAAUUGUGGCCAAACAAUUUCAUUUCCACCUACGGUUUCAAAUUACAUUCAAACUCAACUUUUCAUUUAUUCAAAGAAGAUAACAUAAUUACAAACGAAUAUAGCUCCAAGCUCGGAAUACUUUAGGGAAAGCCAAAAACCACAAUCCGAUUGCAAUGAAAUGAAAUAUGACCCAACCCAUUACACUUCCAGACAGAAUCUAACGAAUAAGCAACAAUAAUUGAUGAAAAGGCGGACAACUUAUGGAGAAUUGAAUAAACCUGCUGACACAGGAGAGGCGGCCGAUGUCGUGAGGAGAAAGGUAAGUUAAAAUCGCGCAGAGAGUUUCGUCGGGAAGGAAACGGAGGUCUCCCAGCGCCUGAAACCUCCGAUCCUCGGGCACCGCCGCCGCUGGAACUGAAGCUGCUGGUUGAAAUUGCGACUCGCGAGCUUCGUCCAUGUCCAUCGGAUUCAUAGCCAGAUAAGAAAAAUUCCAACCGAAUUGAAAUGGUAGCAGAAUUCAAAUUACAAAUGCCUCUGUGGAGUUUGGGAAUCCUUCGGUCUGCGUAAAUAUGCAGAAAGUAUUGCAACCGUUGUGGCGCGUUAAAAGUUAGUUGAUGCCAAUAUAAUUUAUUUAAUCGGAUUUUAAAAUUUUUUUUUUUCUAGAAUUACAUUUUACUACUGUAAUAUUUCAGGCUAUAUCCUGUUCUUUAUUUAAAAAAAAAAAUUUGGGUUUCAUCUUUAGUUCUUAUUCGAUAUAUGAUCGCGUUGCAUAUUCGUUUCCGGAAUCUUAAGCGAGUUGAUAACGCGUGCAUACGCGGAGGUAAAUUGGGAAGUUGCAUAUCUGGUACAUUGGAAAUGUGACGCGUGGAUUAUUAAGAUUUUGUUUUCACAACAUUUUUAUCAUAUUGGACAUAAAAAUAAAGUGCAGUUGAAUUGCGCUCGGUUCUAUUUGACUAUGUAAAUCUUACGAGGUUUGGUUACACUCACGUGCAAUUUGUAAUUCUGAAAUUAAUUUAUGUAUAUAAACUUAUGGAAAAUACACUCCACACGGAUUCAAGACUCUAAAUGCAACUGUUGUAGUAUAACAGUAAGGAUUAGCUGUUUUUGGGAGUGUUUUUUAAAAACUUUGCUGUAGCAGAGUUUUUAGAAUGUUAUUUUGAGAUAUUUUUUAAAAUUUUAGAAAAAUUUAAACUAAUUUUUAGAUUAUCUUUUAAAGUACUUUUUAAAAAUUUUUAUUAUAUUUGAAAAACUAGUAUUUGAAAAACACCCCAAAAAUAGGGGAUCCAAACAGAGUAGUAUUACACGUUAGAUAACUGUACAUAUAAAUAACGAGAACGAUAGUAAUUUUAAUGCUUUUCAAAAUUAUUAAUACUUUUUUAGAGAUAAUGAUAAUGUUGAAACAUGAUACAAUCAUGAUAAGAUACUUCUUGUAAAAUUAAGUGAAGCGAAGUUCAUUUGCUCACACAUGCCAAGUUUUAACAUUCUUUAUUUGUUUUCAACCAAUACUUAAGGGGCAAUAAAAAGAAAGAAAGAAAAUAUAAGAGAAUUUCGAGUGGUGCAAAUGUGGAACUAAAUUAUCAUUUUUUGGAACUUUAAUGCCAAUUUUGCGAAUUCUCCAAAGUUUUGGGGAGGAGGGCAUUUGCUUGUACCUCAAUCCCUACUCAUAUAUAAGAGUGUCAAUGAGUUUGGACAAACCAAAUAUCUUUAUUUUUAUGUUUAUUUGAUUAUUUUGACAAGUUUAAAAUUUUGUUCAAAUUUGAUUUGUUUACUUCUUAAGCCGAACCCAAGUCAAUAUUAAAUAAUUUGAAUUUUCUACAAGUAAAAUUUAACUUUUAUACUAAUCGAACCGAUCUUAAAUCAAACUUGAUAGUUUAUCAUAUAUAAUGUAUUGUUUAAGUUUGAUUUGAUUAGUUGAUGAACGAAAUUUGAACACGCUCUUAACGAGACAAAUUUGAUUCAAGUAUCGAGUAUCAAGUAUCUUGAUUUGUCUUUCAAUCUGCUCAUGCACUAAAAUCUUGUUCAAUUGAACAUGCCAAGAUUCCCGCUCUGGAAGAAAAAAAAAUUCUGCUACGCUUUCCUUACUAGGUUCCAAACUCAAAUUUAAUUGUUAGCUUAUUUGCUCCCACCUUUUGCAAUUUGUAAGAGAAAAAUCCCAAGCCAAAGUAGGAGCAAACGUAUUACUUUAUAUAGAUUCACCUCGCAUUUUCACAAUCCAAUAUGUAAAACACUCCCAAUAGUUUGAACUUUGAACCAAAAAAAAAAAAAGACGGUGAGCUUACUAAACAAUUCUCAAAUUUAUAUCCAUGUGGCUACUAAACAAUUCUGAAAUUUUACGAUUGUUUAUUUUAUUGCAGCCUUGAUUAUGCGGAUCUUGUAUGUCGUUUACUGUUUAGCAAUGAAAUCUUCAUCUUUAUUAACCAACAAAAAGAGAAAAAAGGGACAAAAAACUUCAAUUUUGCCUAUCCCAGGCCUUGCAACUCCUCCUUUUCAGUUGCUAAAAAGUUCAAAAAAGGCUAUAAAGGUUUAUAGCACAUAUGCAAACAAAAUUUUCAAUCUGCAAAUAUGUCCAUUUCUGUAGCUACUGAACCACACUCGUAGCUUUCAGAAUGAAGUACAUUGAGACAAAACAUUUGUACAUUUGAACACAAAAGGGUUUUGCCGAACUUUUUUCCUAAGUUCAGAAAAUGGAAUUGCACGGCCUGAAAUCCAAUUCUUCUCUAACCUAAAUAACAGAAACAUUAUCACCUCUCUAACACAUCUCACCUCAUUAUCAGUGCAAGAUUUUGUAAAAGACACAUGCAGCUUUGCACAUCAAGGGAACAUGUUAAAAUCAAGAAAUUAUUGAGCACAGAAUAAAUUUUAGAUGGACGAGUAUUUAUCCGUUUUAUCAGAUUGCAGUCUGGUGAUUCUUGACUACUUGUGUUGCAGAAUGACAGGAGAAAAUGUCACGAGAGCAGAUCUGCACUAAUUUGUACCAGUGUGUGGACGUACUGUCCAUGAGGUCAGGCACGCAUGUUCAAGCUGCAGGCCCUGUCCUCCUUGGGCAAAGGUUGUGUGGGCAAAUACUAUACUAAGACAUGCAUUCAUACUAUGAUUGGCUAUCCAUCAAAGACUCAACUCAAGAUAGACUACUUAGUUGGAGAAUUAUUUCAAAUGAGAGUUGCACGUUCUCUAGAAUUCACAUGGAAGGCUAUAGUCAUUUGUUUUUUAAUUGCUCUAUGAUUAAUAGUAUUUGGAGUUUUUUAAAAUCCAUAUGUGAUGUCCAAUGGCCUCAAACCAAUUGAAGCAAUUUGAUUGAUUGAUUUGGAGUUAAUUUGAAAGGCAAAUAUCUUGCUAAAACUAGGACUGCAAACGAAUCGAACUCGCGAGCAGCUCGAGUCGAGUUCGAGUUGACUCGAGUCGAAAUCGAGUUCGAACUCGAGUUCAAAAUAUUAAGCUCAUUAGCUUGCGAGCUCAAGUAUAUAUAUAUAUAUAUAUAUUUUUUAUUUUAAGUAUAUAUAUAUUUUUUUAUUUUAAGUAUAUAUAUAUUUUUUUAUUUUAAGUAUAUAUAUAUUUUUUAUUUUAAGUAUAUAUAUAUAUUUUUUAAUUUUAAUAGUAAAAUUACAUAUAUAUCCUUAAUAUUUUAUUAUUUAUUAAAAAAUAUUAUUUUAUUUAUUGUUUAAAAAAUAAAAUAAUUAUUUUUUAUUUUUUUCGAGCUCGAGGUUGAAAUUGUCAGCUCGUCGAGCUCGAGCUCGAGUUCGAGUUCAAUAAAAUUAUGUCAAAACUCGGCUCGAUUAUGCCAAAAUUCGACUCGGCUCGACUCGCUUGCAGCCGUAGCUAAAACUCAAGGAAGACUUUUGUUGGCAGCUGCUGUCUGCUGCAUUUGGAAAGAAAGGAAUGCAAGGCAAUUCACGAAUGAAUGAAGGGACACAAAAGUUAUUCAGCAAGAGAUCUUAGAGGUUGUCAUUGUUCUCCUUCAAGAAAGUCAAGAAGACGUAUAUUAAUAGAUGGGCUGCGAAGGAUUUAAUUGUUACCAGAGAGCAUUUAUUUGAAUUGAAAAUUCAGAGUGUUAGUUGCCACUAAUUAUUUCAUUCAUAUUUGGUGUACAGAGUAUCUCAAAUUGGUGUGGGAUUAGCAUAAUGUGUAAUUUGUAUAAGUUAGGGUUGUCAACUUGAGACCUAUCUUGUAUGUUGUUUUUGUUGUUAAAUACUAAUAAAUUCUUACUUAUCUAAAAAGAAAGACAAAAAAAAAAAAUGCUUUCAUAGACAUUGAGGACAGGCUCAUGGGAGAUGGGCAUAAAUUAGUUAGGCCGAUGCCAUCAUGGGAUUACCGGAACCAUUUUUCCCACCAGAUAGCCAAACCCAAACCAACACUCCCACCAAGCACUUGUUCCACCAGAAGUUGCAAGAAAUGAGUUGUCUGAUUAGUCCAAUUAGGUACAAACAAUACAGCAUGGGUGGUAGGUUGAGUCAAAUGUCAUCUUCAUCAACUAUACCUUUCCCAGCUUCCUUUCAUUUCCCUGUAUGUAUGUACAACCUAGGUUGAGACGAAUCAAGAAAAGGGAAACAAGCGAUCCCUUUGGUAGUUUUAUGGGGGACAAAAGAAAAAGAAGUGAAAGGAUGAAUGGCACAGAAGGAUGACAUCUUCUUAUUAGAUGAACUGUGGCAUCAUCAUAAACCUGUUUUAAAUUUCAAGUUGAUAAACGAGCUUCCCUCACCCUUUAUUAAAACGAAAAGUACGUCUAAACAUUUCUUAAGCUCAUCUUUGGCAUAAGAGUCGAUCAAAGAAUUCCACUUUAUCUUUUCCUGUUCCAAAAUUUCAAACCAAAACAAAAAGAAACGAUGAAAAAAGUAAAUGCUUAUGGUACUUGAUCAAGAAGAACACAAGUCAAGCUUUAACAAAAUGAAUUUUGUCGGCAGUAUAUUCCUGCGAGAUACUUCAGUGUCGGUUCUGAAUUUCUUUGACACGUUUCAUUGAGCUUUCCAAAAUCCUUUCCUUCAAUAUCUACCGUCAGUUUCUCUGCCAUGUUUUAUAUUGCAUCCGGGAUCCGGCGUAUUAGAGAUAAAAUGUUUCUGCAUUGAUCUCUAGGCUGGCAGAUGAUAUCUAGAGACAACUGAUUAAAAUGGCAAGAAAAACAAGGAGAGAAUCUACACCGCUUCGAGGAGUACCAUGCUAAAGUCUCAACUCAGAAUUCAGAAGUUGAAUUCAUUUAUAUUUUCCAAGAUAUGUACACUGAUGUUAGCAUUUAUAGGCGAAAAUAGUUUGGAAUUAGUUAGGAAUUACCACCAACAAGAGGGGAGAAAAGUUUAUGCUUUAUUUGUUGUCUCAUCAAAAUCUCAAACCAUCAGUUUCUACCAGUAUUGACAGAGUAAUACAUGAUAAUAUAGUUAUAAAUACAGAAACAAACAUGUUGAAUAAAUUGAUACAGAGAAACAUGUGAUGCAGAACGGUGCAGACAGAAUUGACGCCCUCAAAAUCAUUCUAGAGCACCUAAAAUGCUACCGACUUUUGGGAUCCAAGCCGCCUCUUUCUCAGUCGCUCAGCGAUGAUAAAUGCAAGUUCAAGUGAU
rnacentral:lncRNA from 1 species